rnacentral:lncRNA from 1 species
CGCAAACGGAUGACAAGAACACAAUACUUCCAGCACCCGAGGCCUUGAGAAGGGGAUGUGCGAGCUGGCUCAGAUGGUAAGUCGAUUCGAAGUUAGUUGUCAUGAUGAAGGAAAAAUCUUCUGCUGUGUAAUCCAUGGUCGACUUUAAGGUGUUGGUCCCGACGUUGUUUAUCUACCACAAAUAAAAACCGAGAGCAAAAUCUAUUGAAAGACAAGCACAAAUUGCGGCAUUGUUAUAAAUAUCAUUAUUGGACCCAUAGGAUCAAAGUCGCCUUAGACUCACUAGGAUGUUGAGCUUGCCGUCGAAGACCGAGGACACGGUGAGCAUCAGCUUCUCUCGCUCUGAUCUUGAGGAAACGUCACAAGUUGAACCCGAGACUCGGAAACCUUUGCUCUUCCAAUCUUUCAAGCAUUCAUUAAUUUCGGCUUCAUUCCGGGAGCAGGUAUGCACGGUCGCCCCAAGCCUCGCUAGUUCCUUCACAAUGGCAUGUCUAAUCAUGGGACAAACAAUAUGAUCAUUCACCAACUUUGUGAUUGCAAUUUGCGAAGAAGAACAGAUUAAGCCCUUUUUCAUCUCCACUAGGAAAAAUUCUACGUGACAAGACAUCAGUACUUGUGAUACCCAAGAAUGUACGGAAGAUUUGGCUGCGGCAUUUGCAAUGGAAGUUAAACCAAUAAUUAAAGCCUUUGAAUGCACUGGUUUUUUAUUUGGGAAAUUACAAAAGGAGAAAAAAAAUUCUAUUGGCUAAUGAUAUCACAAAGAUGCAAAUGAUUUACCAACGUCUAAAGGCCACAUAAUUUCAAAAAGGUUGUGCAUGAAUCAGUCACCUAGGAACAUCAUUCUCAAAGUAAUUGAGCUCUCCAAUCAAGUCUCUCGUCAUAUAGACUUUUAAGUGGCAACAAUAUCAAUUAUCUAGCUUUUUAUCCGAGGGAUCGAAGCUUAUUGGAUUCAAAAGCAUCCGCUAUCACUUGAGCGGUUCAAAAAUUUUGUUGGUCGGGAGCCAAUUUGACAUAUGGGGCCCAUUUUGUUCGGCUUUGGAGAAAUACCUUUGGCUAAAUACAAAUACCUUUGAAGUAAAUGAGUUUUCAGGAAUACUUGGACGUUUGGCAAAUUAUAAUUUAAAGGGCUUGGAAAGUGACUUUUAGUGUAAAUACCAUUUGGUAAACUCAACAUUUGCAAAGGAUUUUUAUUAUUAUUAUUUUUAAAAUAAAAAUCAAAUCCAAUGAAACUCCAUCGCCAAUUAAUGACGGGCCAACCACCGGCGACUAGAUCUAGCCACCGGCGAGGUUGGCCAAGGUUGCAUGAACCAAGAUCUCGUCGCCUGGGUUGCACGACCUUAGGCGAUGCCUGCCUAGGUUGUGCAAGCCUAGAUCUGGCUGUCGGCGAGGCCCAGGCAGCGGUGCCUGAGGUUGCGUGACCACAGGCAGCCUAGCCGACAACCAGAUCUAAGUUCCCUAGACCUCGGGCAACCUUGCCGGCGGCUAGAUCUGGCCACCGGCGGUUGGGGGUAUGGAGAAGAUGCUCGGUAAAAAAAAAAAAAAAAAGUGAAGUUAAUGGAUGAAUAGUAAAAGAUAGACUCACAUUUCCAAAAUAUUGAAAACCCAAACAUUUCAAAGGUAAGUAUUUGGCUAAGGCUUCCAAAUGCUGAACCAAAUACCUAAUAUUUUUUUUCCAAGGGGCUUUGAGCCCUCAAAACCCCUUGGAAAUACUAAACCAAACGGAUGCUUGCUUCGGUUGGAACAAGUUUUUCUAGGCUAGAUAUGACGGAAAAGUCCACUUAAAGUGCUUAAAUCCUCGCUCAAUUUGUUUUGAGUAGGACUGGGCUUCGCCUAGAAAUUGUAGGCCCUGUAUGUUCUGGCCAGGACAAGAAGUAUCUUGAUCCUAGAGUGCCCCAACCAGUGCAUAAUCGUACUAUCAUUCAAAUUAUUACAAAGGAACGAGAUUCCAAGGUUGACGGUUUUCAAAUACCUAAUUCACGAUGUUUUCUUUCCCAACCUAAAUCAUAACAGAUAAUCAAUCAUCGAAAUCAUCGAUAGAAAACAACGAGGUGUUUGGUAAGGGUGAGAGAGAGAGAGAGAGAGACCCGAUUCCUUUGGUUCUGCCAGUGACAAGAGCAGUCAUUCCAUGGAGCAACCACUUGUUUUUGUUGUCAUUGCUGCUGCUACAUCUUCUACUUGCAGUCCCAUCUCCCUCUGUAGCCAUUCUCACUCUCUCUUUCUCUAUCCUAGUGUGAUUUUUCCCCGGAACUCUUGUUUUUCCUUUUCGUGUGUAAUGCGUCUCUCUAACUUUCCACCCCGCUUUAUGCUAAGUCCUUCGCUGGCUGGAGAGAGAGAGAUGGCGACUGGAAGAGGCUUCCUGACCAUGCAACUAUGGGAGAAAAUAUUGGGUGGGCCAGGCACGCCACUAUCACCGUGCGCCCGCCCAAUCAGGAUGCGAGACGUGUUGCCACAUGGAGGCGAGGCCACCAUUAUUUUUCAGUCAAAUUUUUGCUACUUCUCCCUCUCAUUAAAUGCUCCGUCCUUCUCUGCACCAUUUCUCCAAAUUGCACACAAGCAUGCGUCCCUUCCCCCUCCCAUUCUCUAACUGCAGUGAUUGACUAGUACAAGUAGAUAGAAAUGCAAGCCAAAAUCGGAACGGUAUAGGACAACUUUGGGGAAAUGGCUUUGCAUUUCCCCAAGUAUCUUCAUAAGAAUGGGCAUUUAGUGAAUGCUGAAGUGUUUGGGAACUCUUAUUUUGAUGUAGCAUUUUGCAAAAUAGCUUUGAGGUGAAAAGAAAAGGGAAAAACAGAAAAGGAAAAAGAAGGAGGAGAUGUUGACGCAGAGGAGGGGAGCGAGUGGGAGGCAAUCGGAGCUAGUGGGGGAGGCGGCCGGUGGCUGUGGUGGGGGAGGCGGCUGGUGGCUGUGGUGGUGGGGAGGCGGCGGGUCGCGCGGCCUCAGGGCGAUCGGAUCUGGCCGGUUGAGCACCGCUCAGCCUGUCUCGUGGGUCGCGCGACGCCGCCUGAGGCCGCGACCCACGUGACGGCGGUGCCGGAUCUGGUCGGCGAGCAUCGCUCAGCCCGUCGCGUGGGUCACGCGACCCAGGCGACGCCGCUGAGGUUGCGACCCACGCGAUGCUAGUGCAUAGCCACGGCGGUGUGUGGCGACGGUGGUGCGUGGCCACGGCGGUGUGUGGCGACGGCCGUGCGUGGGCGACCAGCUCCGGCCGGUUGAGCUCUGCCGGCUAAGCUUUGGUCUUGAAGAAACAAGGAAGACGAGGAAGAUGAUGAACAGUUAUUUUUUAGGGUAAAACAAGAAAACUCAAUUAUCAGUGAGGGCAAUAUUGGAAGAAAAAAAAUUCAUUAAACCCCCCCUCAGCAUUCCAAAGCAUUCCAAAUGCUAGCAUUCUCCCAAGUAUGGCUCCAAAUGCUGAACCAAACGGUUGAAAUUUUUCCCAAGGGGCUUUCGGGGCUGAAAGCCCCUUGGGAAUGCUGAACCAAACAGCCCCAAUGAUGGUAAUAUAUGAAUCACCCCAAUCCAAGGUUCUGCAUUAUUGCUAGGAGAAUGCGAGGGGGAGGGACGCACGCUUGCGUGUAAAGGAGAGAAAUGGUAAUAUAUGAAUCACCCCAAUCCGUCCUUCUCUGCACCAUUUCUCUCAUUUACACGCAUUCUCUCUCUCAUUAAAUGCUCCGUCCUUCUCUGCACCAUUUCUCUCCGUCCUUCUCUGCACCAUUUCUCUCAUUUACACGCAUUCUCUCUCUCAUUAAAUGCUCUGUCCUUCUCUGCACCAUUUCUCUCAUUUACACGCAAGCGUGCGUCCCUCGUGUGUCCCUUCCCCUCCCAUUCUCUAACUGCAGUGAUUGACUAGUAUAAGCAAAUAGAAAUGCAAGCCGAAAUCGGAAAGGUAUAGGAUAAUGAUGGUAAUAUACGAAUAUCACCCCAAUCCAAGGUUCCGCACUCUUGCUAGGAGAAUGGGAGGGGAAGGGACGCACGCUUGCAUGCAAAUGGGAGAAAUGGUGCAGAGAAGGAUGAAGCCAUUCUCUAACUGCAAUGAUUGACUAGUACAAGCAGAUAGAAAUGCAAGUCGAAAUUGGAAAGGUAUAGGACAGUGAUGGUAAUAUACGAAUACCACCCCAAUCCAAGGUUCCACACUCUUGCUGGGAGAAUGGGAGGGGAAGGGACGCACGCUUGCGUGCAAAUGGGAGGAGCGGUAGAGAGAAUGACGGAGCAUUUAAUGAGAGAGAGAAGCAGCAAAAAAUUAACUGAAAAAUGAUGGUGGGCCCCACCUCACUUGGAGCCACAUGGUGACACGUGUCGCAUCCAACUACGGUGGAGUGAUAAGACCCGUUCCCAGCACGAUACGGAACCGCUACUUACGUACGGUCGUAGAAGUCUCCAACCAAGACUAAUCCACCUAUCAUAUCAUGACCGGUGACAUGAAUUCAUUUCAUGAACUGUUACGUGGGCUCCGCAUCUAGUACUUCCAAAGAUUGAUAAUCGUCAUGCAUUGCUACUUCUGGACUCGAAUUACACAAAAAAAAUUUAUGAUGUGAAUUACAUUAAUUAAAAUUGAAAUUUAUUGUGUUUAAUGAGAUUGGUUUAAUAAGAUAAGAUAUAAAAAUUAUUAAUUAGUCUAAUAUAGAAUUGAUCAAAGUGCGGUUGAGUUUAUGAUUGAAAACUCUAUAAAUAAUAUUGAGUUAUUGUCAUUUCGUGUUUAGAACGAUGAAUUCCAAAUCAUGUGCGCAAAUCUUUUUUUUUCCAUUGCCGUGUUCUAAAAUCUAAUUAUGAAGAUCUUGAUGUGUUGUUUUCGUAGCUAACAAUACCUUUCCCACUCUCGUUGAGGGGCGACACUUUCAUUCAUUUAGGUCAUGUUUGGUAACCAUCACAAUAGUAACAGAUUCUGUUUUUUGUUCCUGGGAACAGUUUAGGAACAAAAUCGCAUUUGGUAAAAUUUUUGUUCCUGGAAACAAAUUUAGAGUAGAAUCAAGAAUAAAAAAAAAAAACUGGCCACUUGAAGAAGAAUAAUAAUAAUAGGAGAGAAAGGAAAAAAAGAAAAGGAAAAAAAAGGAAAAAAAAGGAAAAAAAAGUAAAAAAAAAUUAUUUAAAAAUUAAUUUGGAACAUAAUCGAUGAGCACGGUACCAAACACAAUUCUAUUCCAGAAUCAGAAAUUUUGAAUAGUUACCAAAUGGCUUAAAAUAUUUAGAAUAUGUUUUCGGGAACAGAAUAAAAAAUAAUAAUUUCUUAUCAGAAUCGUUAUCAAAUACGCUCUUAAAAUUAUUUAAGUAUUCUGGCAUACGUUUUCUUGUCGGUGUCCUUUAGUGUACUUUACUGUGUAACGGGGGCUCCAUGUAUAUUAUUUGCAAACUUGUAAUUGCAAUACCGUUUCACCCCUUGUGUUCAAAUUGAUUUUCACUUACUCUAAAUUUGAACAUUUUGUUUUUUUUUUCUUCCUUUCUCUUUUGACCUUGAUGUUUUAGAUUUGACUUAUGGAUUUACUAACGAACAACCUGAUAAUGUAAAAGUAAAAAGGUAAAUAUUAACAUCUAAGGUCUUGUUAAACCUUUUGAUUAAAUUUUUUUAAGGAAUUUGUGAUUGCUAAUUCAAGAGAGCUAGAAUUAGUAAUCACUGGACCUGGAAGAUUGUUAAAAAAAAUAAAAAAAAGGAAAAUAAUAGAAUAAGAAAGAAAAAAAAGAAAUCAAAAUGAUUUUCUUUGACGUUCAAAAAGAAUUCAAUCGACUAAAAAAUAAAACUAUGGACAAUAUAUAAAAUUGCUUUGAUGAAUUAAAUAUUUAGAAUUGAUGGAAUCACCAUUAUAUUUUAAGAAAUUGAACUAUGUCAUUAGAUAGUGAAGUUGUUGCCCUUUGGCUUAUGUAGUGUAAAUGCAUAAAAUUCUAAUAUUGAUCAUGGCAAAGGAGUAAGUCAAAGUCGACCUUGCUCUGUACUUUCAUGAUUAUGACUUUGGUUCCGAAACAAUAAAAGUAUAUUGAUUUUUCUCUGAUAACCGAAUAAUCUUAAAAGUCACAACAACACGGUUUAAUAUACACCAUACAACACUCCUAUAUGGCAUUAUAAGAAAAUUUCUUCUAUUUCUUUUCAAAUUAUUGAGAGACGCCUAGAUGCAUUACCUUUGUAUGUGUCUAAAGAUUUAAAGACUUAUAAAUCGAUACAAUGAUGGCAUAAAAGAUAAAACAUUUUUUUAAUGCCAAUUGUUUUUCAAAUGACAAUUUCAAUUUGUGGGUUUAAUAGGAGAAAGAAAUGUAAAGUCGUCAUUCAAAGACUUUUAAAUUGAUACGAUGCUGGCAUAAAAGAUAAAACAUUUUUUUUAGUGCCAAUUGUUUUUCAAAUGACAAUUUAAAUUGUGGGUUUAAUAAGAGAAAGAAACGUAAAGUCGUCAUUCAAUUUAGUAAUAAAGUAGACGAUCAAUUUUUGCUGAGGUAGUGUCUAGGUGGCAGCUACUUUCGUGGAAAAAUCACCAAAAAGGUUUUCUUGCAAUGAGGAGAGGCUAAUUUCAGCGAUCUACAAUGUUAUAGAUUUUUUUAUUAUUCACUUUGAGGUUAUUUUUAUUUAAUUGAUUCUUGAAAUUGAUAUAAAUAGAUAUUAUAUAACUAAACUGAAGUGAGGCAUUAGCAAAGCAUGCUUAAAAGUGUAUACGGUACCAUAGUUUUUCCAAUCAUAUGGUGCAACGCACUCAAAUUAUCUCAUCCACAUGUAUUUUGUAAGUUUUUCUAAUCAUACGGCAUUAUAGUACUAUGAGUUAAAAACUAUAAUCACAUAUAAAAAUAGGAUAUUUUGAUUAGCACGUAAAAUCUGCAGCAUCCAAAUCGAACGGUUUGUCUUAUACGCUUGCUACUUUGUCAUCUAUGAUUGAUCAAGAUUGUAUAAAUUGAGAAUUCGGAUGCAUAAAAAAAUAUAUAAUCACCGAAAGUAAUUUAUAUGACCAUAUCAAGACGUGGGCUACCACUAGUUAAUCAGGAUACUGGUGAUUACAUGAGUAAUGUGAUGGUAGGGUUGAAAUUCAAGAAAGGGGUCGAGAAAGUCGUUGCAAGUCUUUUUGUGGAUAGAAAUAGCAUCAAAACAGUUGUUUCACUUGUGGCUCGAUGGUGUGGAGCUUCCAAGGAGCUUUUCGCUGAGUAAUACAAGUUGCCUAACUCUAUCUUGAUCAAAAGUCAUGGUCAGUUACAAUUGAGGAGUGCAAAAUUUCAAGCCUAAGUCGGAAAAGCCCUGAUUGGACUCAACCGAGUUAUGUAGUGCCAGCUAAUUUACAAAGGACCGGUGGUUUGGCCUAAAAAUUCUAGGCUGUAUUUAAUCUAGUUUGGUAAAGAUAUAUCUUGACACCACCAUCACUUGAAUUAUUAAAGAGGAACGAAAUUUCAAGAGCAACAGUUUUCAAAUACCUAAAUUAUAGUAAUUUUUACCUUAACCUAAUCCACAACAGUUGGUCAAUAAUCGAAAUCGAUGACAUAAAAAAAUGAAGUGUUCGAGAUAGGGACCGAUUCCUUUGAUUCCACCGGUGAGUGAUCCACCUGUUUAUCGUUGUCGUUGUUGCGGCUGCUACAUCUCCUUGCUGUCCUACUCCCCUCUAGAGCCAUUCUCUCUCUAUCUAAAAGAUGAUUUUUCUUUUCCCUUCAACUCUGUUGUUUUCGUCUUUCUUCUUGGGCCCAAUGCGUCUGAUUUUCCAUUGUCUUAUGCACAAGUAAGUUGGAGUAGGGUUCCACGGCGAUUCAGGGAACUGCCAUCCGUAGCCUGAGGUUGACAGAAGACGAAGCUUUAAAUUACCACGGAACCGACCAUGGCUGAAAGCCAACAGCAUUCGACCGCGUUUAAUUAUCGACAUCUCUUCGUUCUUCUGCUCUUUUGGGUCCGCGCCCCGUCUGUCCUCCUCCUUUUCCGCGUUUUAGAGAGAGAGAGAGAGAGAUCGGACGCUUUUGAAACUCUGGUUAAACUUUCUUUUAUUGAGCCCCGCAGCUAGGAAUUGUAAUGUCGUUUCGACACUUGAGUUCGAAUUGAUAUUCAGUUACUUUGAGUUUGAACAUUUUUAUUUUUAUGUUUUGCCUUCGACGUUCUGGACUUGACUUACAUAUUUAUGAGCGAAUGACCCAAUAGUGUAACAUCUAAGAUCAUGUUAAAUCGUUAUGUCUGUAUUUUGAGAAAGCCCAAAAAAAUAAAUAAUAAAAAGUCAUUCUAAAUAGGUUCUAAAUAUUUUUAUUGAUAUUACCAAAAAAGAGUAACCUGCUACCCACGUUAUGGCCGGCAGAAGUUGUGGAAGCUUGUUUACAAAGACAACAGUAGAGUAGGCGACUCCAUCACUCAAGGCCACAAAAUGCCGGGAGUCGAAUCAAACGAUGGGUCGGAGUCUAAGGUAGCUCCAAACGUUUGAACUCAAUUGAUUUUACAGCAUCGCGUUGCUAUGUCCACGUUCAUACUCAGAGACUUCCCAAGUUAUGACUUUUGAUUGAUACUGUCGGCCAUGCAUUAAAUGCAACACACGAUGAGAUUCAAGACAACAUUGUUCAAUUAUGUAGGACCUUCUUAGGAAAACUUUUUAUUGAGCUUAAAAAGUUUCUUAUAGUCAUUUAAGAGAGAGUCUCGUUGCAUGUGAGCUGAUCGUUUGGUGAUUGAGGUACUUAUGGAAACAACCAUACGAGGAUUUGGAAAAUUUUAGGAAGACUAUGCAGAAAUGUUCGAAUAAGCAAUCUAUAUAAGGUCGAUUAUUUAAACCAGAGGAAUUUUGAGAUCACAGGAGAACAUUUACUACCUCCGAGAAUCAUUUUGUGCUUAUUGUUGGAAAUUUCCUAUAAUAUGGGUUUACAUUAAUUAAUUGAUUUUCUAUUUUAAAUAAUCGGGUUAAUAGAUAUUUCAAUAUUUGUUGAACCCUAAAGUGAUCUGAUUAAAUUAUGUAUUAGUAUCUAUUGAUAAUAGGCUUGGUUGACUAGCAAAGUGUAGGCAAUUGUGUUUGACUGAAGCCCGUAAUGGGAAGGAUCCAGUUGACACGUUGUAGAUUAGGGUUUGCUAGGUCCCAUCUCUAGCCUAUAAAAGGGUAGGUUAUACCUAUCAGUUCAUUUAAUCCUAUUGAAAGCUGCUAUAUUGAAAUAGGUCAUAGAGAUGAAGAUCUCCGAUAGAUCACUGAUUAUCAAAUUGAUAUAUUUUUUUUUCAAGUGAAACAAUGGCUCAAACAUGUACGCUUUACAUUUACGGAAGUUCUUCCUUCUCCGAGGAACAGAAGACUGCAAAGGGGGUGGGGAUUCGACCCCAUGAUCUUUUCCUCUGUAGCUGAUUCUCCUUAGCUUGCUGUUGUUUCAGUUUGCUCUUGUUCUUGUAGUUGCGGGUUCCUUCCAUCUCCGUUCUUCGCCUUCAGCUUUGAGGGCUAGAGGGUUGGGGAGGGUAGGGGUUCCUGUUGUUACGUUUUGUUUGUUGGCUUCCUAGCUUUUGUGUUUCUUGCUGGCGCCCUCGGGCUUUUUUAUCGGAUCCCCGUCACUCUUGCUCCUUUGUUAAGAGUGCUUGUUUGGAUCCGAUCUUUUGUACUUUUGUCCAUUCUCAUUAAUAUUAUUACCUUCACAAAAAAAAAAAAAAAACAUGUACGCUUUAAUUCCACUGUGUUUAUUGUUCUCGGUGUUUUACAGUCAUAUAUGGAUCCGAUUCUUCUUAAUUAAUUAAUUAUUCAUGCGAAUAAUUUUCUACAUGUGGUAUUAGAGCUAAUCAUAUAUGAUUGUAGAACUCAAUUUUUUUUUUUUAUGGACAAAUUCGAAAUCCUCCUCUUUGAGCCGAAUAUGGGCAUUAUUUUUUUGUAUAGAUUUUUUGCUUGAUUGAUUUUGAAACGAUAGGGCUUUUGUUCUACAUGUCGAGAUCUUUCCAACCAUAUAUAAUUUGCAUAAUUUCGUUGAGAAUUGAGAGAGAAUUUUUAGAUUUGAAAUUCUAGGGUUUAUACAUGAAAAAGUUCUAGAAUUUGCAAAUUACUUGCAAUUGAUUGAUGUUUGUUGUAAAUUGGUGCAUGGAUAUUGUCAUAUAUAUGUUUUAGCAUCCUAUUGUUGAAUAAAAGUAACAUUUUAGGCUUAAACUUAAGAAAUUCGAAAUUCGGCCAUGGGAGGUUAAGAUCUUCAUUUAAUUCAAUAUAGUUAAUUAUAUUGAUAUCAUAUGCAAAAUCCAUCAAUAAAUUUCAUCAAAAAUCAUGUUAAUUUGUGUUGUUGGAGCUUCGGGUUGAAACCGGGUCGUGUGACCCGGUUUUCUACAACUUCGGGACCCAGCUAGAGGUUGAAGAAGACCCUCCAGCCGGGCCGGGCCAGCCCAUCCAUUUUUUCUUUUUCGUGUAUUAGGAUCUGGGCGCAGCCCAGAACCUUUAUGUUUUGAAUGGGCUCUGGGCACACGCCCAUUAGCCAACUUGAAAAGAGGUUCUGGGCUGCCCAGAACCAAAAUAUAAAGGGCUUAGCCCAUAUAUAUUUUUUAAUUUAAUUUCGUGGGCUAUUUAAACAGUCCAUUACAUGGGCCAUUCUCAAUUUAAAAGGAGUGGGCUAGUGGUCCGCGUGAGGGUUAAGGAUUCGCGGGUUUGGCCCGCGGUCUGAUUAGGGCUGCUUGCAGGUCCUGGGCCCGGGGGAGUCCGAAAUAUUAAAAUAAUAAUAAUAUAAUAAUAUAAUUAAAAAUUAAAAAAAAUGUGGCAAAAAUUGUUGUUUGAAAAAGUGCAAUAUGAUCAUUGGAAGCACAUGUUGUAAAGUAUUUCAUAUUGUUUGAUGAAUUUUGGGCAUAAAUUUUUGGAGUUCCUUAUUGAUAAAAAUUAGUAUAUACAAUUACUUGCCCAAAAGGGGUUAUUGUGUAUAUUAAUUUGAAAAUUGCAUAAAGAUAAAUUCCAAAAAUAAAAGAUGGGGAUGUAUGACUCAAAAAGAUUUAUCUGCCCAAAGGGGAUAAAUUUUUUAAAGUUAUAUGUAAUUACCCUCUAUAUUGAUAUAUUAAAGAUGAAUGAUGAGGAUGUGUGACUCAAAAGGUUUAUCUGCCUAAAUGGGAUAAAUUUUUUGAGAGUUAUGUGUAAUUCCCUUCUAUGUUGAGAUAAUGGAGAUAUAUAAUUUAAAUGAUUUGUCUACCCAAAGUGGAUUGAUCCUUGAAGAUUAUAUGUAAUUCUUCUUUAUCAUCUCUAUAUAUUGAUAUCAUAGAGAUGUAUAAUUUAAAUGAUUUCUCUGCCCAAAGGGGAUGGAUCAUUAACAAUUAUAUAUAAUUCUCCUUGUUGUUGCUUUAUAAACUUCAUGCUGUGAAAAAUAAUGGUUCAUUAGACACUCUACCCAAAUGGAAGUUUAUAAUGUACUAAUUAUUUUUGUUGAAUUACUUAUUGCCCAUAAUUGAUCUUAUUACAUUAUGUGUGACAAACAGUUACAUUUGCUGUAAAUAAUAAUAAUGUCAUAGUUGAAAUAUUAACUUGAUCAAAUAUUAUACUGUUAAGGACUUGGUCAAAAUAGAGAUAUUGUGAUCGAGGAUGUCAUAACUGAGUCCAUGUUAUUUGAUCCUCUAACAAAAGGCUUACGACCCAUUUUAUUUAAAGAACAUGUAAAAAAUAUGGGUGUUUUAGAUUCUUUUGAUUUCUUUUGUUAGUGGGAGUUAUGUAAUUUGUACUUCUGGAUAUUAUAGUUAUAUGUAGUGUGAUAAUGCUUUUAUGAUGUUUAUUAAAGCAUUUAUUUUAAUAAUUGUUAUUAUUGAUUCUAUUGUUAUCCUUUCUCCUGUUGACUGAGAAAUAGAAGUAUAAAACAGUAUCUUUAAACAAAUUUUAGUUUAAAGAUGACUGGAUGUCACUGAUUAUGAGAUCUCAUGUUGGAUUGUGACAUAAUCGUGCAAUUUCAUGUUGUUUAGAAAUUGCGUUAAUGUAGUUCCAUGUCGUUAAGAAAUUGUAUUGAGAACCGAUAAGAAAUAGUGUAUAUUUUGAUCACAUGUUGGCAUUAUUUCUUACUACACUACUAGGCCCAUGAUCCAUGAAAAUAUAAUGCUUAUUAUAUGUGAUUAUGGAAGGUCUUGUGUUGUGGCAUUUUCUUAACACAUUGAUCUCCAUAGUCCUAUACUGAGGUUAUAUAGAAUUGGAUUGGUAUUGAGAUGCCAUUAUUGGAAUAUUAUUUUUUUUAAAAGUUGUGGCCACAUAAAAUAGAAAAUUUUAGUUAUUAACCCGAUAGUGUUGUUUUCAGUAUAAAAUCUUUUUCAAAAUAAAAUAAGUUAAUUAAUGUAGCCCAAGUGGGAGAAUGUUGGAAAUUUCCUAUAAUAUGGGCUUACAUUAAUUAAUUGAUUUUCUAUUUUAAAUAAUCGGGUUAAUGGAUAUUCCAAUAUUUGUUGAACCCUAAAGUGAUCUGAUUAAAUUGGAUAUUUGCAUCUAUUGAUAACGGGCUUGGUUGAGCAAGUGUAGGCAAUUGUGUUUGACUAAAGCUCAUAAUGGGAAGGGCCUAGUUGACACGCUGUUGAUUAGAGUUUGCUAGAUCUCCUCUCUAGCCUAUAAAAGGGUAGGUUAUAUUUAUUAGUUGCUUUUAUCCCAUUGGAAGCUACUAUAUUGAAAUAGGUCAUAGAAAGGAAGAUCUGACAUUCUGAUAGAUCACUAGUUAUCAGAUUGAUCUAUUUUUUUCAAGUGAAGUAAUGGUUCAAACAUGUACGCUUUAAUUCUGCUGUGUUAUUGUUCUCGGUGUUUUACAAUCAUAUAUGGAUCCAUUUCUUCUUGAUUGAUUAGAUAUUUAUGUGAAUAAAUUAUACACUUAUUUCAUUACUCUAGUGUUAGAACUCGUGAUUGUAUUGAGACUUACUCUGCAAUUUUAUCUCAAGGGAGAGUAUUUCUCUUGUGAAUACAAACAGGAGUGUGCAUUGGUUUUAUUCGGUUUUUAGUGUUGCAGUAUCUACCAUUGCGGUAGCAGAAAGCUUUUGUAACUUGCGAUCUACUUGAAUUGAUACCGCAAUGUCAAAAUGAAGCCUUUGAUGGCUUCUGUAAGUCAGAAUCUGGUCUCUUUCUCUCUCUCACUGGACACUUCAUUCUUUUAUGUCGAUGGUUAUGAUGAUCAAUCAUCUGUAUGAUAUAAGUUGAGGAAGAAAACAUCUUGAUUUAAGAAUUUGAAAAUCGUCGAUCUCGAAAUCUCUUUUCUCUAUGAUAAUUUGAGUGAUAGCAGUAGGAUUGCACAUUGACUAGGGCAAUCCAUGAUCAAAGUACUUCUUGUCCUAGCCAAAACAAAUUGAGCCUGUAAUUUCUAGGUCGCUAGAAUAAAUCUAGCAAAGAAAUGAAUUUAAGCACUUUAAUUGACUUAUUUCCAUUAUAUCCAUGCUCAAGAAAAUCUUUCUGAUCGAAGCGUGUUUGACCGAGCUUCCGACCAUCAAGAUUCUUUUAACUGCCCGAGUGACAGUGGAUGCUUCUGAAUCCAAUGAUGUUCGAUUCCAUGGAUAAAAAAAAAAACUAGGCAAUUGAUGCCAUCACCACUUAAAACUCUAUAUGAUGGAAACGACGAGAGACUUGAUCAGAGAGCUCAAUUAUUUUGCGGAUGUCGUCACUGGGUGAUUGAUUCAUAGGUAGCCUUCUUAAGUUCUGUAGCCUUUUGACCGUGAUAACUCAUUUGACAUUAUUAUUAGCUAAUAGAAUUUCUUUAUCCUUUUGUGAUUUCCCAAAAAGAAAUCCUGGUCCUUCAAAGGCUGUAAUUAAUGGUUUGACUUCUAUUGCGAGUGCGGCCACAUCUACUGCACGUUCUUGGAUAUCACACAGAAUUUCUACUUCCGGAAAAGAAGAGGGAUUAAUCUGUUCCUGUUUGCAAUCACGAGUUGGUAAAAUGAUCAUGUCGUUGUGCCAUGAUUAGGCAUGUCGUUGUGGAGGAACUAGCGAGGCUUAGGGCCACCGGGUAUACCUGCUCCAGAAAUGAAGCCGAAAUCAAUGAAUGCUUGUAAGAUUGGAAGAGCAAGGGUGUUCAGGUCGCAGGAUCGGCUUGCAACAAGUGGAUCCUUGUAAGUCUAAGUCGUCUUUGAUCGAGUGGAUCCAAUAACAAUAUUUAUAAUAAGGUUGCACCUUGUGCAUGUCUUUUAAUGAAUUUUGUUUUUGGUUUUCAUUUGUGGCAGAUAAAUGACAUUAGGACCAACACUCUGAAGUCGACCAUGGAUUACACAACAGAAAAUUUUCCCUUCCUCGUGACAACUAAUUUCGAACUGGCUUACCAUCUAAGCCAGCUCGGACAUCCCCUUCUCAAGGCCUCAGGAGCUGGAAGUAUUGUGAAAUUGUCAUCCAUUUGCGGCGCUGUUUCAAUGAACACCGCAUCAAUCAACUCAGCCGCCAAAUGUACAUUAACAUUAUCAUAAAUAACUAUCUUGACAAUGUUAUAUGGAGCUAAACAAAUUGCGGCUGUUUUCUGUUUAUUGUAUUCAAAUUGAUUGAUAGGAGCAAUGAACCGGUUGACCAAGAAUUUGGCAUGUGAAUGGGCUAAGGAAAACAUAAGAAGCAACUAUUUUGUGUUGGAGAAAUCUUCGUGAAGUGUUUUGAAGUUGACAAAACGUUUCCAUCAGUCUAGUCUGAAGGUCUGCAGACUCUGUUAGUUAAAGUCUGAAGACUUCCGGACAGCCAGACUCAAGACUCAAAGUCUAUCCUCAUUGACAGUCUCUAAUCCGUUGAAGAAAGGUUAUCCAAAACUGGAUGUUUUGUUCAGGAUUUAACCUUAUCAUCUGGAGAAGAUCUCGUGGUUGGAGAAGACGUAUAAGAAUCCUUUGAUUGAUCAAGAUUGAUUCAAUGACUGAAGAUUCGAUGAUUGUCUAAAUAUUAUUGGAAGGUUCUACUUAUGGAAACCGAGAUCCUGAUUGUAUGGGCGAACAGGAUUGAUGGGCUAUCAACACGUUCCUUUAAUAGCUCGAACAAUCUUCCUAAUUGAUUCCGUCCAACGGGUAGAUUGGAGGAAUUCCUUUGGUAAGUGCCAACGGGUAUGAUGGCAUAAAGGAGUAUAUAAGGAAGACGUUCUUAGUUGUUCGAGGUGUGCGCGAUAGAAGAAUUCCAAAGUCUGAAGCUCCUAUUUGUUUAGAUAAAUCCUUUGAGCGAAUACUUGUAUACAAAAGAGAGUCUAUAUUUGUGAGAGACCUUGAGGAGGUGUGAUAAAACAUCUACACUGUGGAAUCAAGGCAAAGCUGUGCUGUAACUUCUCUUUUGAUCAUAGUGAAAUCCAGCCGGUGGGCUGUCAGUGCGGAAGAGUGGACGUAGGCUUGGAAUAAGCCGAACCACUAUAAAUCAUGUGUUCAAUUUUCUCUUCCUCACUCUCUCUACCUUAAUCGUAUUUCUUUUUGUUAAUUAGGAGAGAAUUUACUUUCUAUCAUACGUUAAGAAUCGCUUCUGUAUAUCGAUAAAUUGUUUAGGCACCUAUUCACCCCCUCUAGGUACUCAUACUAGCAAUAUCAAUUGGUAUCAGAGCUCGUGUACUCACUUUGUUUGAAGUGUUUUACUUUAGAGUUAAAGAUCCAUGGCUAGUAUGCUAGCACCAGGGCUGAUGGAAGGGCAAAGUAAUACCAGACCACCCUACUUUGAUGGAAAGGAUUACAACAUCUGGAAGAACAAGAUGAAAGCUUUCCUACGAUCAAAGGAUCCUCUGGAAUGGGAUGUUGUAGAAAAAGGAAUUACUCCUACCACUGCAUCAGUCUCUGAAAGAGGAAAAGAAACUGAAGAAACCAGCGGAAUGUCUCAGGAAGAAAUAAUCAAGAGACAAACACUCGAUGCAAAAGCAAUUUACUCCUUAUAUUGUGCUUUAUCACCAACUGAAUAUAAUAGAAUAUCUUCUUGUGGUACAGCAAAAGAAGUUUGGGACAGAUUGCAUAUCACCUAUGAAGGAACAGAUCGAGUGAAGGAAACAAGAAUCAACAUUCUUCUCGGUCAAUAUGAAGCCUUCAUAAUGAAACCAGGAGAAUCAAUAUCUGACAUGUUUAGUCGUUUUACAGAUAUUGUGAAUGGUCUUGAAAAUCAAGGUCAACCAACUUCUGAUCCCAUGAAGGUAAACAAGCUACUGCGUGGACUCUCCAGGGAUUGGAAUCACAUAAAGACUUCGAUAAGAGAGACGCAGAGAAUUAUGCCACUAUCUGUUGACGAGCUGAUUGGAACUCUUCAGUCCUAUGAAGUGGAAAGGAUCAAUGAAGAUGAAGAUCCAAAAGGUAAGAAAUCCAUUACAUUAAAAUCAAAUGAUGAUUCUGAUGAUACAGAUUUUGAAGAUGAUAUGGACGAUGAGGAGCUUGCUCUCAUGAUAAGAAGAUUCAGAAAACUAAAUAGAAAAGGAAGAAGGUUCAACUCAAAGAAACAAAGCUUUCAAAGACAGCAGACCAAGUCUGUUGAUGAUGAGGAACUAAAUAAAGAUGUAGUCUGCUUUGAAUGCAAGAAAAAGGGACACAUCAGACCCAACUGUCCUCUUCUGAAGAAGAAGAGAGGAAAAGCUGAAAAAUUUCGAAAAGCUCUCAAAGCCGAAACCUGGAGUGAUACUGAGUGUGAAGAAAGUGAUAAUGAAUAUGCCAAUCUAUGUCUAAUGGCACAAUCAGACUCAGACUCUGUAUCAGACUCAGGAUCAGACUCAGAUAGUGAAUUUGAGGCAAGUGAUUUUAAAAUUCCUGUCAAAGUUUCUAAAUAUAUUAAUGAACUAUGCUUUAGUCUUAAGACUUCUCUCAAAAGAAUUUCCGAACUGAAAAAAGAAAACUCAGCUCUAAAACAAAAGGAAAAUGUUUUAGCAGAAAGAGUUAAAAGUCUAGACUUAUCUGUCUCCAAUCUUAAAGAAAAUGAAGAUAAUCUUUUAAAAGAAAAUGCUUUUUUAAAAACAGACUUAUCUAAUAUAUCAAAGAAAUUUUCUAUAGGGUCUGAAAAACUUGAGAAAAUUCUUUCAGCACAAAGACCUUACUUCAAUAAGUCUGGUCUAGGUAUGACAGAAGAAACAAUCCCCUUGAUUGAUUUUCCUAAAGUAAAAGAAAGAAUUAAGAAAAGACUCUCGAGUGAGGUUUACAAAAAUCACUUCAAGAAAGUUUUUGUAAAACCUGUAGGUAGAAAUGCUCUCAGAUGUUCUAAGUGCAACAGUCCGGAUCACUUUGAAAAAGAGUGUCCUAUGGUAUGGAAACCUGUUAAGAAAGUAUGGGCUAAUACUGUUUAUCUUACUAACACCAAAGGACCCAAGAAAAUUUGGGUACCAAAGAAAGCUUGAGACUUUAUUUUAAAUGCAGGUCUCCGUCAAGAAACAGGUAAAGUGGUAUCUUGACAGUGGAUGCUCAAGACACAUGACAGGAGACUCAAAUUGCUUUAUAAAUAUUGCUCAAGUAAAUGGUGGAAAAGUUUCAUUUGGAGGAAACAGCAAAGGAAGUAUUGUGGGAUUUGGAACCGUGAAAAUUGGAACUCUCACAAUAAGUAAUGUUUCCUUAGUGGAAGGACUCAAUUACAAUCUUCUCAGCAUUAGUCAAUUGUGUGAUACUGGUUUCAAGAUCUUCUUUCAAGAAGGAACAUGUUCUGGAAUCAGUAAAGACUCUACUCAGUCUUUCAUGGGUCGAAGACAUGGAAAUAUCUAUCUUCUGGAUGUGAAACCAAAUGAAUCGCAAUGCCUUAUCUCAAUUCAAGACGAAGCAAGCUUAUGGCACAAAAAGCUUGGUCAUGUCAACAUGAAGCAAUUAGCCAAAAUUUCUUCAAAACAGCUUGUUCGAGGACUACCCAGAUUGUCAUACCAAAAGACUGAUUCAUGCACUCCAUGUAUUCUGGGAAAGCAGUUGCUGCAUAUGGAUCUCUUCGGACCAACCAGAACUCAAAGUAUUGGGGGUAAGAAGUAUUGCCUAGUAAUUGUUGAUGAUUACUCCCGUUUUACUUGGGUAUAUUUCCUUGCAAGUAAGUCCGAAACCUUUUCGUAUUUUGAAAAAUUUGCUAAAUUGGUUCAAAAUGAAAAAGGAUGUGUUAUCUCUAGUAUAAGAACAGAUCAUGGAGGUGAAUUUGAAAAUCAAGAUUUUACAAAAUUCUGUGAUGAAUCUGGCUGUAAGCAUGUGUUUCCCUCUCCAUAUACUCCUCAGCAAAAUGGAGUUGUGGAAAGAAAGAACAGAUCUCUUCAAGAAAUGGCUAGAACUCUUUUAAUUGAAAGUAAAAUUUCUUCUCGAUUUUGGGCUGAAGCUGUUUCAACAGCUUGCUAUAUCAUCAAUAGAGUCUUCUUAAGAUCUAUUCUUCAGAAAACCCCUUAUGAGUUAUUCAAAGAAAAGAAGCCUAUUGUUUCAUACUUUCAUGUAUUUGGUUGCAAAUGUUUUAUACUGAAAAAUGCAAAAGAUCGAGUUGGUAAGUUUGAAGAAAGAUCAGAUGAAGGUAUCUUCCUUGGAUAUUCUACAUCGAGCAAAGCCUUCAAAGUCUAUAACAAGAAGAGCCAGUCUGUGGAGGAGUCAAUGAAUGUCAAAUUUCAAGACUCAACACAAGAUGAAUCAAGUCAGACUCAUCAAGAAGAGUCUGAACCUGCUCCAGAUCUUCCAAAGCUUACAACUCAAGAAGCAUCUCAGACUCUGGAAAACCAGAAUAAGGAUGUUCGUGAAGAUUCAGUCAAAGAGAGAGAUCAUCAAUUAGACAAAUCAACAAGUAACUGGAAGCAUAAGUCCAGUCAUCCCAAAGAUCUUAUAAUCGGCGAAAUAAAUGAAGGAAUUCGCACCAGAUCCAAAAGGCGAGAAGAGUCUAGUGCUGUGGCACUCGUUUCUGAAAUUGAACCAAAGAGCAUAGAAGAAGCUUUAUCUGAUGAAAGCUGGAUUGAAGCUAUGCAAGAAGAGCUCAGACAGUUCAGCAUAAAUGAUGUCUGGGAAUUGACAUCCAAACCAAAAGGUAAAACUGUUAUUGGAGCUAAAUGGGUUUUCAGAAACAAGAUGAACAAGAAAGGAAAAGUCGUACGAAAUAAAGCAAUACUCGUGGCCAAGGGAUAUACACAAGAAGAAGGAAUAGACUAUGAUGAGACUUACGCUCCAGUGGCAAGGUUAGAAGCUAUUCGACUAUUACUUGCGUUUGCUUGUUAUAAGAAUUUCAGGUUAUUCCAAAUGGACGUCAAAAGCGCCUUCCUAAAUGGAUUUAUCCAUGAGGAAGUUUAUGUGGAACAACCACUAGGGUUUGAAGACCCAAAGAAGCCAGACUCAGUCUUCAGACUGAAAAAGGCUUUGUAUGGUUUAAAGCAAGCACCUCGGGCUUGGUACGACAGAUUAAUCUUUGCAAGAAAUUUUCAAAGUCUAUGCAGGAUGAGUUUGAAAUGAGUAUGAUGGGAGAGUUAACAUUCUUUCUUGGUCUUCAAGUAAAACAAUUGAAGGAAUGAACCUUUAUUUAUCAAGAAAAAUAUGUUAAUGAUCUUGUCAAAAGGUUUGGAUUGGAAAAGUGCAAAAAGGUCGACAUACCAAUGUCAAGUUCUUUAAAGAUAGACAAAGAUGAAGAAGGGAAGAAAGUUGAUCAAAAGCUGUACAGGAGCAUUAUUGGAUCACUUCUUUAUCUUACUGCCUCUAGACCUGAUAUUUUGUUGAGUGUUUGCAUCUGUGCUAGGUUUCAAUCAGAUCCUAGAGAAUCUCAUCUCAGUACUGCGAAACGCAUCAUUAAAUACGUUGCUUCAUCAUCAAGCAUCGGUCUUUGGUAUCCUAAGAAGGGAGACUUUAAUCUUCUGGGAUAUUCAGACGCAGAUCUGGCCGGUUGCAGAGUUGAUAGAAAGAGCACUUCAGGAACUUGCCAGUUGCUUGGAAGCAGGACAGUGUCUUGGUUUUCAAGGAAACAAAGCACUGUGUCUCUUUCAACAACAGAAGCAGAGUAUGUAGCUCUUGGAAGCUACUGUUCGCAAAUUCUAUGGAUAAAACAACAGCUAAGAGAUUUUGAAAUUGAAGACUCAUGCACGGAGAUUAAUUGCGACAACACCAGCGCUAUCAACCUCACCAAAAAUCCUAUUCUCCACUCAAGAGCAAAGCAUAUAGAGAUUCGACAUCACUUUAUUAGAGAUCAUGUUCAAAAUGGAGAUGUUUCAAUUCAAUUUGUUGACUCAAAGAAUCAACUGGCUGAUAUACUCACAAAGCCUUUGGAGAAAAAUCAAUUUGAGUCUAUACGGUCCAGACUCAACAUUUUGAGGUAUGAGGAUAUCAAAGUCUAAAGACUGUCAGACUCAGGCUUACAAGACUUUAUCUACUGUCUUGGCUCGACCUUCAGACUGUAAGUCUUUCUCUCUCCAAUCUUAUCUUGAAAAGGUACGAUCAUCAGGCUAUGUUUAAAUUGUUGCUAUAUUUAAUUAACGUAAAUAUUGCAUCGAUUCAUUUUCAAAAGGGAAGUUAUUUUUGAAAUAACUAUUUUUGUGGAUAAAGACAGUUAUUUUGAAAAGGCAUAUUUUUAUUUCCUUUGUGACGGUUCGUUUACUCUUCUUUUUAACCGAUUGUGCACUGUCGAUUUCUCUUCACUUUUCUAUUCACUUUUCUCUCAAAAACUCUAGAAAGCAUCGAUCCUCAAUUCCCGUUUGUCUUCUUCGCUCAAUCUUCAAAAAGUUGUCAUCUUUUCUAGGAAAGUCAAGCAAGGAAUCUUCCAAACACUGAGAAAGAUGUCAUCUUCACGAAAGUCCUCAAGAAUCGCAAGCAGGGGACCACGGAGAAUGAGUGAGGGGCCUACGCACUUCGAUCUUACUGAAGAUGAAGUUACUCCAGAUCAGCAACCGAGCCCACAACAUUCUCAGCAGCGUCAGUCUCCUCCAUCUAGUCCUCAAGGCGGUGUUCAUCAGCAUCAAGAAGAAAUCAUCGAGGAUGCAGACCCAGUAAGAGUUCAAAAGCCCGCUUUUAUUUACAAGCUAUAUCGUGCCUUAAAAGGAAUUCGUACUCUUUUGAACUAUGUUGAUGAGUUUCUAAGAGACAAAGGAUAUAGGAACGAAUAUAUCUUUCUGCGAAAAAUGGAAAGUUUGGGAAUCGCUCGUAAAGGGGUGGCUGAGGAAACCCUUGCGAAUAUCCCAAGUGAUCCUCGUGACUGGGGACCGAAUCCUGUAGAUGGGAAUGACGAUGACAAUCUGUUCAGUUUAUUUCAACCGAAAAUGGGUAUUGCGGCUGAAAUUCAAGGAAAAAGGGGAGAUUUGUUCAGAUCAAAGGAACAAAAGGAUCUGUACUCGAAAUUACUGAAGCGUGGGGUAAUAAACCCUAGGAGUGUGGACUUUGAUUUUCUGGAUGCUGUGAAAGUGAACUUGAGGGAAAAGUUCAGUUAUCUUCAACUUGAAAAGUUUUGCUCUGACUCAACUGAGGCUUAUGCUGAAUUGACUGCAUAUUUCUAUUCAAAUCUUAGCUUUUUGGAUGCGAAUAGAUUCUCCUUCAGUGUUAAAGAACAAGACUAUGUUGUGGAUAUGAAUAUGCUGGCAGAUGUGUUAGAAGUUGAGAGAGGCAGAUAUCAACCAAUUAAAGUUUCCAUUGCUCGGGCCACACUUGAACUGGUGAAGGACAGGAGAACAGAUGAGAAGAUAACCUACUCACGGAUGAAUGCAUUCAACAUCUUGCUUCACAAGAUUGUGAUCAAUUGCCUUCGGCCGAAAUCAACUUCCAAAACUGAUGUUUCAAGCUCUGAGGCAAAGUUGAUGUAUGUCAUCCUCUGUGGAAAGCAGUUCUCUCUCCCUCAUACUGUUAUGUGCCACAUGUAUAGAGUAGUGAUGAAGGACAGAGGUCAACUCCCUUACCCAAGCCUUGUUACGAAGUUAUUCAGACAUCUGAAUAUUCAGCCUCCGCAAAUCUUUUGUGUUCGAUCAUGCGAUCAUAUGGUGGUAGGACUGAAAAUGGUGACCAAAAUGCGUCUGAAGGAACUGAGCAAGGAAUUGGAGAAAUUCAAGGAGAAGACUCCUGCCAAAUCUCAUCAACUCUCUUCUGCUGCUAAGAGAAAAGGGAAGGAGCCCAUGGCUGCGUCAUCAAAGAGAAGAAGAGCUCUCCUCGUUGAGGAUGAAGAUGAUGACGAAGACAUCACCAUCUCUGCAAUGGCUUUGAAGAAUUUAAGUCGUCCUGUUCCACAGAAAGAAUCGGAACAAAAGACGAAAGAAGCAGAGGAGAAGGAAGAAGAAGAAAGAGAAGCAAAGGAGAAGGAAGAAGAAGAAAGAGAAGCAGAGCAAGAAGCAGAGAAAGAAAGACCUGAAGAAGAAAGAAGAGAAGAAGGAGAACCUGAGGAAAUCUCUUCUCCACCUGUAGGCAUGGAAAUAGGGGGAGAUCAGGAGAAAAGAGUGACGUCUUCAUAUCCUGAUGCAAGUGAAGGAGUCAGUCGCUCGCCUGCAGACCCAGAAGAUGUUUAUGCAUCCCUGCAGACCCAGAAGAUGUUUAUGCAUCUCAGUUUCUAGAGGAAGGUCAUGAAGCUUCAUCGCCAAAUCUGCAAGAUUAUGCUGAUCUACCAUCUUCUGUAGAUCGAGCCGAAGCAAGUACUCAGACUGAUAAUGGAGCAGAUUUUUGCAGAAUCAUGGAUAUUCUCUUGGAGAUGAAAGGUCAGAUUUAUGCCUUGGGAUGCGAAGUUCAAAGUUUAAAGAAUGAAAGUCAAGCUUCUUCCUGUUCAUUGAAUGAUAAGAUGCAAGCCCUCUCUAUUCAGAAUCAGGCCAAUGCCAAGAGUGAGGAGGUUGUACAGCUGAAGGAAGACUUUAAAAGGCUGGAAGGCAUCGUUCAGUCUAUGGAAGAUUUCCAGCUUGUCCGCAUUCCCAAGACUUCAUCUCAUCCUUUUUAAUGAUGACAAAAAGGGGGAGAGAUGCAUGAUUUGAUAAAAAAAACUUUCAAUCAUUUUUUAACUGUUUGUUGGAUUGUGUUGUUGUUUAACUGUUUUUGACAAGACUUUGACUUUGUUUUGUGUCUGGAUGAGAUCUGAACUAGACUUGGACUUGACUGCUUCUAUUAACAAGUAUUGAUAUCUUAUGGAUGGUUUUAUUAUAUACUAGACUAACCUAUUUUCUGUGGUUGCAGAUUCUAGUGUUAAUCUUUUAGCCAUUCAUCUCUAUAAGAUAUGCAUAUGUGUUUGAGAAAUGUUUUGCAGGUCAAAGUUAUCCAAAUCUGCAGGAAGGUUUUGUCACCAUCAAAAAGGGGGAGAUUGUUGGAGAAAUCUUCGUGAAGUGUUUUGAAGUUGACAAAACGUUUCCAUCAGUCUAGUCUGAAGGUCUGCAGACUCUGUUAGUUAAAGUCUGAAGACUUCCAGACAGCCAGACUCAAGACUCAAAGUCUAUCCUCAUUGACAGUCUCUAAUCCGUUGAAGAAAGGUUAUCCAAAACUGGAUGUUUUGUUCAGGAUUUAACCUUAUCAUCUGGAGAAGAUCUCGUGGUUGGAGAAGACGUAUAAGAAUCCUUUGAUUGAUCAAGAUUGAUUCAAUGACUGAAGAUUUGAUGAUUGUCUAAAUAUUAUUGGAAGGUUCUACUUAUGGAAACCGAGAUCCUGAUUGUAUGGGCGAACAGGAUUGAUGGGCUAUCAACACGUUCCUUUAAUAGCUCGAACAAUCUUCCUAAUUGAUUCCGUCCAACGGGUAGAUUGGAGGAAUUCCUUUGGUAAGUGCCAACGGGUAUGAUGGCAUAAAGGAGUAUAUAAGGAAGACGUUCUUAGUUGUUCGAGGUGUGCGCGAUAGAAGAAUUCCAAAGUCUGAAGCUCCUAUUUGUUUAGAUAAAUCCUUUGAGCGAAUACUUGUAUACAAAAGAGAGUCUAUAUUUGUGAGAGACCUUGAGGAGGUGUGGUAAAACAUCUACACUGUGGAAUCAAGGCAAAGCUGUGCUGUAACUUCUCUUUUGAUCAUAGUGAAAUCCAGCCGGUGGGCUGUCAGUGCGGAAGAGUGGACGUAGGCUUGGAAUAAGCCGAACCACUAUAAAUCAUGUGUUCAAUUUUCUCUUCCUCACUCUCUCUACCUUAAUCGUAUUUCUUUUUGUUAAUUAGGAGAGAAUUUACUUUCUAUCAUACGUUAAGAAUCGCUUCCGUAUAUCGAUAAAUUGUUUAGGCACCUAUUCACCCCCCUUUAGGUACUCAUACUAGCAAUAUCAUUUUGCACUACGAACCGAGCCAGUAAUUUGAUCUCACAAGGCUUUAAUUUUCUCUCCUGCUCAAGAAUGUUUCAUUACAUAGAUCUUGAUCAUGUUUGUCCAUUUUGCUUUUGAUGUUUAAUUCAUCUGUCGUUGCAGCUAUUUAAUAACGAGAAGUUCCACAAGGAAGUGAUAGCAAGGACACCGAUCGGUCGCACCGGAGAACCGAUGAAAGUGCCGUCGUUGGUGGGAUUCUUGUCCAUGCCGGUAGCCUCUUAUAUAAUGGGGCAAACCAUUUGUGUUGAUGAGGAUUCGCCGUGAAUGGUUUCUUAUUUCCUAUGUAACGUGAGUCCAACUUUCUUCUUCCCAUAAGAAGUUCAGCAUUCUUAGUCAUCGCAAGGACAAAGAACCUAUAAUGGCGAAAUCUCUGAACAUUGAUGUAUCCAUUUCGCCAGUGGCCGGCGAGGCGACCUCCUCAACGGGAGGAUCUACGGGUGGCUAUCCCUCUCUCUCUCUCUCUCUCUCUCUCGUUUGAAGUUGUGAGCGCUCGCUUGGAACCGUUCUCUCUCUCCGCCUCAAUCCAUGCCUUGCGAUUGCGCCUCCGAAGUGCGAGCAAGCUCGUAGCUUCUGAUCGCCGCCGCAUUGUGGACGGCGAGCGAGGAGCCUCGCUGACCACUGGUGAGGUCAACCCCUCGCCUUGGCUGGGCGAGGCCUUGCCGGAUCUGGCGAGGCCUCGCCCUCGCCAUUGGCCGGCGAGGCUGACCUCGCCAGAUCUAGUAGGGCCUCGCCCUCACCGGCCCUUGCCUCCGCCCAGUGGGGGUGAGCCUCGCCAUUGGCCGGCGAGGCUGACCAUGCCAGCCCUCGCCUCUGGCCGGCCAGGAGGCGAAGAAGAUGAUGGAAAAAAAAAGAAUUAAAAAAUUCCAAAAAAGUAUUAAAAAUUCGAAAAAAAAAUUAAAAAAAAUUAAAAAAUGUCACGUUAGCGUUCACUGGUCCAUGUCAGCGUCAGCCGGCCAAUUUUUGCCAGAUGGACUGAAUUGACACAAUUAUAAAAGGUUUAGGACUAAAUUGGCAAAAAAAAAGUUUAGGACUGAAUCUUACAAAAGCUUUGACUGAGAUAAUUGUAUACGGUACCAUUAUUAUCGUGCCACAGGCACAGGUUCAUCGCUAGUUAGCAGAUAUAAAAUUAGUUUGAUUGGCAAAUUUUUACGGCCUCUUUAUACCAGUUACACAAAGUUUUGCCGCUAGUUAGCAUAUAUAAAAUUGGUUUGUGAAAAGCUCAAGUGUCUUAUUUUUAUGAGCAGUGUUUUGUUUCAGAUCAUAUGGAUUUUAGGUCAAGUGCAUAUCAAAGAGAGCACAUAUCUCUUAUAGUUCAAGUUGGGUCAAGUAAUGAGGAAAUCCGAUUAGGUCCAUUAACACUUCUAGUUGGUAUGAGUUAGGAAGAGUCCACGUUAAGUUUUUGAAAAUAAUGCUUCAGCUUUUCUUUUGAUGGUUUAUCUUUGGGAAAGUCACAGCACUAUCAUAUUACUCACGUUGCACUACGGUCACGAACAUUGGCAUUAUAUGACAUCUGUAUGAAUAAUAACUAUCAUUUAAAAAAUUACCAGAUUGUUCGAUGUGUAACUUGAAAAACAUGAGUCGACGUGGUGCUUUCGGCGAAAGGCAGGCGUGGGGACAUGCGUGCUUCCAUGAUUGAAUGCAAAUCCGUCAAGGGGCCCUGAAUCUUGUCAUCGCCUUUGUUCUCCCACUAGGUAGACUUCAAGGACCUUAUGCAAGGAGUGGCUCCCAGUUCCCACUAUUAUAGAUGAAGUCAAAUAUUUGUUUUUAGGGGCUUUUUUUGUCUUUUCUAUUAGAUUUCCUUUUAGCGAUGGCAAAACCCUAGCUGUCAAGACGCUGAAAAAGAAAAUAGAGAGACAAGAAAAAGAGAGAAGAAAAAAGUGAGUUUUUUUCUUGAUGAGGGUUCUCAAUCUCUUUAUGCCCUGAUCUUGAGAGAAGAUCGUCGUUGUAUUCCAACUUUUUCGAAGUCUAAUGGAUUUGCAGAGUGCCUCUGUGCAGAGACGUAACCUAGGUUUGGGUGAACUUCGAUAACAAAUUUUCUGGCGUGUUCAUCUAAUUCUGCUCUUUUAUUACUAUAUUAUGUCUGGUGAAUUGUUUGCGAGCGUUAUUUUUCUAGAAUCGACGUGUGAUUUCGUAACAACUUGUAUCAGAGCUUGGGUUGCCUAAUCGAGAACAUCGAGGGUUUUUCAGUGACGUUCGAUUGAAAGCAAACAGAAUGGCAGAAGAUAAAAUCAGAAUCGAUAAGUUCAAUGGGGAGGACUUCGGAUGGUGGAAACUAAAAAUAGAGAAUUAUCUUUAUCAAAAAGAUCUCUAUGCACCACUUGAGGGUUGGAAACCCGAGAUGGCAGAAGUGGAUCCGAUAGCAGAAGCCGGAUGGAAAAUUCUUGAUCGAAAAGCAUUAGGUGCGAUUCAUCUAGGGUUGACAAAAAAGACAGGGUACCACAUCACGAAAGCAAAAACUGCAAAAGAAGCCAUGGAUAUUCUAACGAAUAUUUAUGAGAAGCCGUCCACAUCAAAUCAGGUAUUUUUGCUGAAGAAAAUGGUUAAUAUGAAAUUAUCUGAUAGAGGUUUUGUGGCAGAGCAUAUUAAUAGUUUCACGCAGGUCAUGGGUCAAUUGGAAUCUGCAAGCAUAAAUUUAGAUAUGAAGCUUCAAGCUUUAUUAUUUUUAUGUUCUCUUCCAGAAAGCUACAAUACUGCAAUGCAGGGAAUUUCGAGCACCAUGAAGGAUGAUUUAACUCUUGAUGAUACUGUGAGUAGUAUAAUUUUUCUGUGGAUAUAAUUUUUCUGCAUCUACAUCUUCAACGGCACUCGCAGUGGAGAACCAUGGAAGAAGUAAAAGUAGAGAAAAUUUCAGCGGUCAUGGCAGAUCACAAUCAAAGGGUAAGAGACAGGUUGCAAAAGAUGAGUGUUGGUUUUGUCACAAAACCGGAUACCGGAGGUUUUAGCGUGGAGCCUACAAAAAGAAGCAGCAAGAUGAGAAUUAAGGUGCUAAUGUAGUUAGCGAUGAAUCUUUGCUAGAUAACUUGUGUUUGUCUGUAGGGUUUGACUUGACAAUAGAUAAAUGGUUUAUUGAUUCUGGCGCUUCUUUUCAUUGCACCUCGCAAAGAGACAUAUUUGAUGAUUAUGCCAGUGGAGAUUUUGGACAAGUGGUUGUGGGAAACGGCCACAUGUGUCCAAUUGUUGGGAAAUGAACCGUGACUAUGAACAUCUCAGGUGGAGAACGUCUAGUUUUGCGUGAAACUAGGCAUAUUCCGGAAUUAAAGAAAAAUCUAAUUUCAACCAGUAAACUUGACCAAGAAGGUUUGGUAAUAACCUCUGGCUGCGAAGAGUGGAAGAUAACCUCAGGGGUAAGAGUAGUAGCAAAGGGAAAGCGUACAGGUACAGUUUACCUUCUCCAAGGAGACAAUAUCAGUGAUAUGGUUGCAACUACAAUGGCUACAGGUAAUUUAUCUACUCAUUGGCAUUAUCGUUUGGGACAUCUUGGUGAAAAAUGUGUAAAGCAGUUACACUCGAGAAAAUUACUCCCAUGUUUGCAAAAAGUUGAGUUAGAUUUUUGUGAGAGUUGCAUUUAUAGAAAACAGAAGGCUGUUAGUUUUCAAUUGAAUAGGCGACAAAAUAAAGGCCAGAAGCUAGAGUUGGUUCAUACUGAUAUAUGGGGACCUACUCAGGAACUCUCUUAUGGUGGUAAGAGAUAUUUUGUUACAUUCAUUGAUGAUGCAACAAGGAAGACUUGGGUCUAUGCUCUUAGAGAAAAGUCAAAAGUAUUUGGGAUGUUCAGAAUGUGGAAGACCAUAGUAGAAAAAGAAACAGGUUAUCAUAUUAAAGCUCUGAAGUCUGAUAAUGGUGGUGAAUACACAAAUAAAGAAUUUGCAGAAUAUUUGAGUCGAGAAGGCAUACACGCGCUAAAGACUGUUCCUAAAACUCCUCAAGAGAACGGUAUAGCUGAAAGAAUGAACAGAACUAUUCUAGAACGUGCGAGAUGCAUGAGAUUACACGCUGGUCUCCCGCUACACUUAUGGGUUGCCACAGUUGAUACAGCUGUUUAUCUUAUCAACAGAAGUCCAUCUAGUGUGUUAGAUGGAGAAAUACCACAAGAGCGGUGGUCAGGUAAAAAGAUUAAUUAUUCACAUCUAAAGGUGUUUGGUUGUAUUGCAUAUGCUUUGUUUGAUAAGGAGUAUAGGAAAAAACUUGAUGCUAAGUCCCAGAAGUGCGUCUUUAUUGGAUACGGUGGCGACGAGUAUGGUUAUAGGCUUUGGGAUUAUGAGAAUAACAAAGUCAUCCGCAGUCGCAAUGUGGUAUUCCAUGAAGAAAAGAUGUACAAGGAUCGUCAGACAGAGACAGAGCAUGAGAAGGUAGUACAACCAGAAUAUGUUGAAUUAGACACGAUGUCCGUGAAGAUGUUUCCAGUAGAUCAAAGCUCACCUAAAAGAGAGGUUGAAGAUGAGCCUAUUAUUAGUGAAGAGGUAAUUCAAGAAGAACGCAAUGAUUCGGAGCAAACGAAUGACCCUGAAGUACCUGUCUUGAGAAGGUCUACACGUGUGAGAAAGCUAAAGGUAAUUUUUGAUCCAUCAACUAAUACUGUUCUGAGCCAUGUCUUAUCUACAGAUUCGGGAGAACCGGAAACUUACGAUGAGGAGAAGGCAGACACGUCUCACUUGCAGUGGGAGUGUGCUAUGAAAGACGAGAUGAGCUCAUUAUUUCAAAACAAAACUUGGGAGUUGACCAAGUUGCCCACGGGUAAAAAAGCUUUAUUAAACAAAUGGGUGUACAGGGUUAAGAAUGAAGUAGAUGGUAGUAUUAGAUACAAGGCGAGACUUGUAGUCAAGGGCUUUUCUCAAAAAGAAGGGAUCGACUACUUCGAGAUAUUUUCACCUAUAGUGAAAAUGACAUCAAUUAGAGUUCUGCUGAGUAUAGUUGCAGUGGAGGAUCUUCAUAUUGAGCAAUUAGAUGUAAAAAUAGCGUUUUUACACGGUGACUUAGAUGAAGAACUAUACAUGGCACGGCCUAAAGGUUUUGAAGUCAAAGGUAAGGAGCACAUGGUAUGUCGCUUGAAGAAAAGCUUGUAUGGCUUGAAACAAGCUCCGUGGCAAUGGUACCUAAAAUUUAAUGGUUUCAUGCCAAAAAAAAAAAGGAUUUGCACACUGUGAGUCUGAUCACUGUGUUUAUUUUCGCAAAUAUGAUGUUGGUGACAUUGUGUAUCUCUCUUUAUAUGUGGAUGACAUGCUGGUGGCUAGUUCUAAUAUGAAGAGAAUCGUAGAAGUGAAAAAGAUGUUAUCAUUACAGUUUACUAUGAAAGACUUGGGAGAAGCCAGGAAUAUUUUAGGCAUGAAAAUCAUCAGGGACAGGAAAAAUAAGAAAUUAUGGUUGUCGCAGGAAGACUAUGUGAACAAGGUGUUAAAGAGAUUUAACAUGGACAAGGCAAAACCGGUUGCAACUCCUCUAGCGAGUCACUUCAAACUUUAUAAGGAUAUGUGUCUAAGCACUCAGGCUUUGAAAGAUGAGAUGGCGGUAGUUCCAUAUGCAUCAGCAGUUGGGAGUUUGAUGUAUGCCAUGGUGAGCACGAGACCAGACAUUGCACAUGCAGUGGGAGUUGUGAGUCGAUAUAUGCAAAACCCAGGUAGAGAGCAUUGGAAUGCAGUUAAAUGGAUAUUGAGAUAUCUAGCAGGUACUUCUAAUUACUCACUUUGUUAUGGUGGUACAUCUCUAGAGUUGUAGGGUUAUGUAGAUGCAAAUCAUUCGGGUGAUCGAGAUAGUGGUAAGAGUACCACUGGAUAUGUUGUAGGUACAAUAGUGAGUUGGGUAUCUCAACUACAAAAAGUAGUGGCUUUAUCGACAACAGAGGUAGAAUACAUGGCUAUCACAGAAGCCUCCAAGAAAAUCACGUGGUUACAAGAUUAUAUGGAGUUACAUCGAAAACAGCAAGUUAGUACACUUUGGAGUGAUAGUCAAAGUGCGGUGCACUUAGCAAAGAAUGCAGCUUAUCACUCACGGACUAGACAUAUCAAGAAGCCUUAUCACUUUAUCAGGUCAGCAUUGAAAGAUAAUGAGUUAAAGUUACAGAAGAUUGAUGGCUCGAAGAAUCCAACUGACAUGAUGACCAAGGUAGUAGACAAAGAGAAGCAUAUUUUCUGUACUACUACCAUUGGUAUUACUCCAUGCUGAUUGAUGAGGAGUAUCGCAGAGGCACAAGUUUUUCAACUACUAUUUCUUGAAGAAGAUGGAUGCAAAGUUGCUUGACGCUUGGGUAUAUUUGUCUUCGAGCGGGAGAUUGUUAUAGAUGAAGUCAAAUAUUUGUUUUUAGGGGCUUUUUUGUCUUUUCUAUUAGAUUUCAUUUUAGGUUAAAAGUGGUAUCUUUAUAUUAGCAAUGGCAAAACCCUAGCUGUCAAGACGCUGAAAAUGGAAAUAGAGAGAUAAAAAAAAGAGAGAAGAAAAAAGUGAGUUUUUUUCUUGAUGAGGGUUCUCAAUCUCUUUGUGCCCUGAUUUUGAGAGAAGAUCGUUGUUGUAUUACAACUUUUUCGAAGUCUAGUGGAUUCGUAGAGUGCCUCUGUGUGGAGACGUAGCUCAAGUUUUGGUGAACUUCGAUAACAAAUUUUAUGGUGUGUUCAUCUGAUUAUGCUUUUUUAUUACUAUAUUAUGUCUGGUGAAUUGUUUGCGAGCGUUAUUUUUCUGGAAUCGACGUGCGAUUUCGUAACACCCACGUGGCGUGAGGAUCUCGAUCAGGAAUCCCCUCUGCCAAACGAUAACUCUUGAUCAGGCAUUGGACAGAAGGGCUUAUAUAAUACAGGGGGAAGUCAGGGAGAAAAGCACAAAGAAAGAGUUGGGAGUAAAAAUCAAAUUUUAGAGAAAGAGAGAGGGAGAAUGGCUUCCGAGGGGAAGAGGACUGCAAGUACAUGUCGCACUCGCAACGGCGACAACGACAAUAGGUGGUCGCUUCAGGGAAUGACUGCUCUCGUCACCGGCGGUAGUAAAGGAAUUGGGUCUCUCUCUCUCUCUCUCUCUCUCUCUCUCUCUCUCUCUCUCUCUCUCUCUCUCUCUUUCUCUCUCAGACUCACCGAACACUUCCUUUUUUAUGUUGUUCAUUUAGAUGAUCGAUCAACUGUCAUGGUUUAGGUUAAGAAAAAAAAAACAUCAUAAUUUAGGCAUUUGAAGACAGUCAAUCCUGUGCCUAUGGCAAUCACACUAAUUUUAUAUGUUAACUAAAGACCAACUUGCAGCAAAUCUCAACCGUCCACGUAAAAUUAGUGAAUUGAUCUCGUAAUGACCAAUGGAUGAAGUUGGGAGGAAGGUAAGGUUGCAUUUGUGUUUUAGAGUAUGUACUUAAACUUAUAUGACUACUGAUUAGGGUGCUUAAAAUAAAUUAUUUGUUUUUACAAUUUCCAUUUUGUGUGUGUGUGUUUUUUAAAUUUUGGAAUAUCUAUUAUAGCAAAAUGGGUAUAGUUGCCAACUUAGGACUAUCCGGGUCCGAAAAAUUCAAGUCAGGCAUGUCAGAUAGGGCUUUCAACUAUAGCAGGUGCUUUUGAAUCUGAUUAUAUUCGAUUUCAUAGAUAAAAUGCUAGACAACUAAUUUCAUGAUCAUUCAAAACUUUAUAUGACGAAGAUGAUGAGAGAUCAAUUACUUCGAGGAUUUGUAGCUGGAUAGGCUUGGUUUAUGCAUUUUUUUAUUUAAAGUUUUGUUGUCUUUAGAUGUUAAUAGCUCACAGACAUGUCGCUAGCUAGUAGAAUUUGCAUUCUCCGAUUGUCAUGAUCCAGUGCAUUUAAAGGCUUUAAUCAUCUGUUAGACUUCAAUUGCCUGUGCAAUCAAAUCUUCCGCACAUUCCAAUGUAUNNNNNNNNNNNNNNNNNNNNNNNNNNNNNNNNNNNNNNNNNNNNNNNNNNNNNNNNNNNNNNNNNNNNNNNNNNNNNNNNNNNNNNNNNNNNNNNNNNNNNNNNNNNNNNNNNNNNNNNNNNNNNNNNNNNNNNNNNNNNNNNNNNNNNNNNNNNNNNNNNNNNNNNNNNNNNNNNNNNNNNNNNNNNNNNNNNNNNNNNNNNNNNNNNNNNNNNNNNNNNNNNNNNNNNNNNNNNNNNNNNNNNNNNNNNNNNNNNNNNNNNNNNNNNNNNNNNNNNNNNNNNNNNNNNNNNNNNNNNNNNNNNNNNNNNNNNNNNNNNNNNNNNNNNNNNNNNNNNNNNNNNNNNNNNNNNNNNNNNNNNCGAUUUGUGCUUUUAUUUCGAUAGAUUUUGUCCGCUUUUCAUUUCUGGGAUUGGUUUGUGUGUUAGAUAAACAACGUUGGGACUCUGGGGACAACUGGUGGAAUGCCGACCGUGGAUUACACGGCGGAAGAUUUCUCCUUCAUCAUGACUACUAACUUCGAAUCGGCUUAUCACUUGAGCCAGCUCGCGCAUCCUCUUCUCAAGGCUUCGGGAACCGGAAGCAUCGUGUUCUUGUCAUCCGUCUGCGGUAUUGUUUCACUCAGCGUCGGAUCAAUUUAUUCAGCCACAAAAGGUGAAUUGAUAGUAUCAUGAGCAACUAUUUAAACACUUUUAAUAUGGAGCUAAACAAAUUCCAUAUGUUUCUUACUUUCUCAACUCAUUGUUAGGAGCAAUGAACCAGUUGACCAAGAAUUUGGCGUGCGAAUGGGCUAAGGACAACAUAAGAAGCAACUCUGUUGCACCUUAUUUUAUUCUGACUCCAUUGACCGAGCCUGUAAUUUAAUGUCCCAAGGCUCUAACUUUUCAUCUUGAUCAUUUUUCCCAUCGUGAUCUAACGUUAACCCAUCCGUCGUCGCAGCUACUUUGUAGUGAGGAGUACCAUAAGGAGGCAAUAGCAAGGGCGCCGCUCGGUCGCACAGGAAAGCCGAAGGAGGUGUCGUCACUUGUGGCCUUCUUGUGCUUGCCGGCAGCCUCCUAUAUAACGGGGCAGACCAUUUGUGUCGAUGGAGGAUUCACUGUCAAUGGCUUCUCCUUUCCUAGAGCAUGAGUGUAACUUUCUUCUGUGUCUGAGAUGUUUGUCGUGCAUUGCCGUCGCAGGGAUAAAGAAGUUUAUUAACCAAUAAUGGCAACAUCGCAAUACGCUUCAAUGUGUACGUCGAUCAUUUGUUGACCGCAUAUACGGGAGAGUAUCGUACUCCCACUUUGUAUUCCCUUUCGAGCUCUUUUAUGCAAUUGCCUAUGAGUAAAAUUUACGUACUUGAGAAGCAAUGAUGGAAACAAUAAACAUGAUAUACUACAACAGCAUUAUCCGAGAAUAUAACAUUUUUUGUACACAAGACAAACGAAGUUUGAUUCCCAUAUAUGUUAUAUCUGUUUUCCAUAUACCUAAACGCUAAAUCAUAAAAUCCAAAGUGUAAUUUAUUAUUAAUUCUUAACACGAAAUUGACCAAGUAUGUUUCGUAGAAAUUGUAUUGUCAAAAUCGUCUUUGUAAUGCUAUGUUAAAAAAUGCCUCCUUUUAUAGCACUGCCUAGGUCAAAGAGAUGUUUUAAUUUGAACAUGAGAACCACAGCAUCAAGUGGUUGGCCAAGGUUGCUGGCUACAUUAUUAAUUAUGAUUGAUCGAGAAGGUAUGAAUCGAGAAACUAGAUGCAUUGGAAAUAUAGAACCACUGAAAUUAACAUAUAUAGCUUUAUAUAACCGUAGCAAGGUAGACGUUAUCACUAGCUUCGCCAUCAUAUGAGUGAGAGGUGUGAUGGUGGGAGUAAAAUUCAAUAACGUAGCCUGAAAACAUGCCGGAGAAUUCUUUUUAGUAAUCUAAAAAUAGCAUCAAAUGCCUUGACCCUAUAGGCUCACAGUGUUGAGCUAUGUAGGAGCUUUUGGACGGGCAAUACUGACCACAUAACUCUGGGUUGAUCAAGUCUUAUCUCUAGUUAAAGUAGAGGUGCACGAAAUUUCGGGCCUAAGCUAGAAAAGUCCGGAUCAGAGACGGCUAAUUCAUUUUGAUUCGGGCUAGUGUAAUUAAGGACUAGGCGCAACCUAUAAUCAUUACGAUCAAUUUGUUUUGGAUGGGCCAAGAAAUACACAAGUGCUUGGCCAAGCACAAUCUUACUAUCUCUGAAAUUAUUAUAAAGGAAUGAUAUAUCAAAAUUGACAAUUUUUAAAUGCCUAAAUCAUGAAGUUAUUUUUCUCAACCUAAACCAUAACAAUUAAUCGAUCAUCUAAAUCAACGAAAUAAGAAAAACGAAGUGUUCGGUGAGAGACGGAGAGGGAGAGAGAGAGAGAGAGACCCGAUUCCUUUGGUAUCACCAAUGACCAGAGCGGCCAUUCCCUGAAGCGAUCACCUGUUGUCGUCGUUGCCGUUGCGACUGCUGCAUCUACUUGCAGUCCCCUUCCCCUCACGCCGCAUGUGAAUUGCGAACCACUCCCAACGUAAGGUCAUAGGAGUCUGCCGAGGGUGAGAACUGUGGCAAUGACAAGAUUUAGGACGCCACAACGAUUUCGAACCGCAGAAUUUGCAUUCUAUCAUGGAAGUUGGCAAGUCCCACACCUAUCUUUUAUCAAAGCACCACGUUACUUGUGUUUUCAUGUUACUCGGGUUGAACAUAUUGAACAAUCUUGUAAUUGUUGCACCGAUAGUUAUUCAUACAUUUGUAAUUGGUGCAAUGUAAGUAACAUGAUAGUGUCGCAACUUUCCCAAAUGUGAAUCACCAAAAAGAAAAUUAAUGAAUUACUAAACCCAGAGACUUAGUGCAAACUUUUCCAAUCUCAUACUGAUUGUAUUCUUCGAGUUUUUAAACUUUAAUUAGCAUAACAUGUAAAUUAGUUUAUUUACGAGUCGCCACUCAUCAAUUAUCAGUAGCUCGAUUACACAUGCCAUAUUUUUCGGGUUUUUUAAUUUAAUUAGCAUAACAUGCAAAUUAGGUUAUUCAUGAGUCACCACUCAUCAAUUAUCAGUAGUCGAUUACACACGUAAGCAAAGUAUAGAAGAGUACUUUACUUUUAAGACUAAAAAAUUCAUGGAUAUAGGGACUUGAAUGACAAAUAAAUCUAACACACUUUUAGUAGAUUUUUUUUCUUUAUUUCAAAAAUGUUUUGGAUCAAUUUUAAUUUAAGUCACUAAUAUAGAGGUGAUUAUGCAGGUGCACAAAUAAAAAUUUAACAAUCAAUAAUCAAAGCAAUAAAUAAAUCUUUAGAGAUCGGGCAAAUAUAUGAAUACCUUAAGCAAGUAAAAGCCAAUUAAUUACUAUAGAUAGGAUGUUUUGCAACAUAUUAACUAUAAAAUGCAUGCAUGUCCAUUUCUACAUGUAAUGACAUCUAACGAGAUGUGGACACCGGGAGUGCUAGGACUUGACACUGGGGGACACUUAAGUGCUAAAAGUCCUAAAAGAUAUACUUAAGUGUCAAAAUCGAAGAAAAAUGAAACACUUAAAUGUCAACGGUGAGAAAAUCUGAUCAAAUUGCUGACAUGACCUUCUUUCGACAAGACGAGUGUAAAAUGAUGUUUUUGGCACUAACGUGGCUAGAUAAGUGCAAAACAACAUCUUAUGGUGUUGAUGUAGCUCCAAAAUUGAAUUUUAAUAUAACAUCAAUUAAAAUAAUUAUUUAAAAAAAAAGAUAUACAAUAGCAUUUUAUGAGUCACCCCAUCAUCGCUAAGAGAGGUUGGCGAGGUGGGGUGAGGGUCAACUGAAGUCAUCGGCCCCUGGGCAGUGGCCAACGACCCUAGCCGAUUUUCAACAAGGGCUUGCAGGCCCUCAUUUAGAUAUGAGGUGAGGGUCAUAGCCCUCCCCCAGAUUCGAUAAGGGUUGCCAGCCCUUGCCUAGAGGGGCCAAGGGCCACCAUUGGCCGCAACAACUCUCAUCCUAGAUUUGGGCAAGGGCUUGCCACUGCUUAGGGGCCGAUGACCCCAGCUAACCCUUGUCCUAUCGUUGCCUGCCCUUUCCAGCAAUGGUGGGUGGCGGUGACAAGGCCUUAACCCAAAACUAACCUAUUCCCUCCUCUUCUUCUUCUUCUUCUUCUUCUUUUAAUUUAAAUAAUUUACUUUUUAAUUAAUAUUGAAUUAAUAAAUUUAGGGGCAAAACGAUUGUUAAUAAAUUUAAAUAAUGUCGUUUUGCACCUUCAUUGUUUAAUUGGCUUGCGGCGAACCACAUAAAUCACAUAUAUUAUUAAAAAAAUGCCAAGUUGGAUUUUUGGCUACUUUCACCAAACUUGGCAUUGUGUUUCACUAUUAAAAAAAAGUGGGAUUUAAAUGCACCUUUUGGAAUUUUUAGCACUAAAAUGUUCACUUAUGCCAAGUUUUGGCGUUCUCAAUGUACUUUCUCCAACAUCUAACUAUAAAAAAAAUAUUGAAAAAGUUUACGUUGGUGCCUGACAUAUGUCACAUAGGACUGCCGACAUCCACAUCAAUUAUUUCCAUUCUAAAGUGGUUGAAUAAACUGAAGUGGUACCAAAGUAAAAAGGUUUACGACUAAAGUUUAUAAUUGAAUUUGUACCAAUACAAUAGGUUUAUAAUUUUUUUGGUACCAUUCCCAAUUAUCAAGGUCCCCUUGUUAUGUGGCCAUUGUAUUCGACAUGUUAAUUGCCAGCCUAAUCUUGGUUAAGCGGGCAAUGAUAGUGAUAGCCACCCUCCUAAAGGCAACAUGGAUUCCCCGAGGAAUGUUGACAGAUUGCUAAGCGAGUGUGAAUAGCUACUCUCGCAAGGUGAUACCUUUGCCUAACAUGAGCCCUCCCAAAUUUACCGAACACAACCUAAUUUUUCCAAUAAAUUAUUCAAGCAAUAUUAGACUAAGAAGUUACCACUAACCUAUUAAGUGUCGAGUAGUAACCCAGAUAGGGUGUAGCGGUCAAUCUUACUCCCAAGAACCAAAUUUAAUUAUGCUAUAUGAAUCUAACAUUGUUUUAGUACCCGUCUCUCUAUAAAAUCGUUUUGUCAUAUUAUUGCCUAAAAGUGAUCAUGAAUGGUUCUCAAGCAAUAAAAUAAGCAAUCAGGCAAUAAACAUCAAAUAAUGAAAUAAUAAAUAUCUAGCUAUUAAAUAAAUAACUUGAAUAGCCGAAUUGGGCAAUAAUUAACAAAGCUUUUUUAUAGGCUUCACGGUAAAACCCCAUGUGCUGUAGGUGGAAAGUCUAAAAGUACUCGUGCAAGCUUCCUAAAAUAGACAAUUAUAUCAAAGGAAAGUGAAUAUGCAAAUGUAACAUGCUAUGUAAAGUAAAUAUACCAAAUGAAGUGUUUUUUCGAAAAUGAGCCAUUAAACAUAAGGCUAUAUUUCGAAGCUAGUAUAAAAUUCAAAAUAGGAUAUUAUCAUAUCCUACAUUUGGUGUCGCUCAAGAUAGGAUAUAGUUAAAUAUAAAUGCUAUAGACUGAAUAAUAUUAUCCUAUAGCGAAAGCGGGAUAAAGGUGGAUGUGAUUUCUAACAUCUAUAAUAGGAAAGUUAUUUUUUUCGAAUGAAAAACUUCUUAAAUUAACAAAAUUAUAUUAUAUUUCAAUAUAAAUAAUAUUUGAAUUCUAAUAUAAGAAAUUCAAACUAACAAAAAAUAACAAUUUAUUUAUUUUAAUUUAAUAUUAUUUUAUUUAUAUAAUUUAAUUUAAUUAUAUUUUAUAAUAUAAAUUUCAAUAUAUAUUAUUACAUAUUUUAGGUACUUUAGUAUUUUAGGUAUAUUAGUACAGUUUACUAUUUAAUAACAUUUUAUUAGAGACACACUCGGGUUACUGUUCACUUUCCUCUCCAUUUGGGCGAUUCUGGCACUAUUCACUCCAGCUGGUUUUUUGUGGAUUCUGGUUGAUUCCGCUGGUAUCUGGAGCUGAUUUUUCGUGGGCUAGGUCAUCUGGGGACCGCCUACAAACCCCAGGUAAGCUUGGCUUGGUUGGUUUUCGUUUAUCAAGAUGGGAGCUCUCGAUCAGAAUUUCUGGUGCGCCUAGCUUUUCCCAAUUCUGGUCUCUGUCUUCGUGGGUGGCUUUGACUGAUUGGUGUGCUGAUUGCUGGUGGAUCUCCUUGUCCUUGAAGGCCCUUAAGCCCCUACAAACACCUGGUAUGGCCUGAUUGCUCUCCUUGAUUUAUUCUGGGGUUUGGGCCGGUGCUGUGUUGGGGUACUGUGCUGUUUCGUUAUGGCAUCCUCUUCAAAUCUCCUAAGUCAGUUGGGCCGUCCAAAUGAGGAGUCCCAAGCGGGCUCUAGGCGUGAUAGGAGCCGCCUUAGAUCUGCUUCUCGUGGCCCUAGAGUGGCACGUCCUGCUAGACAAAAAUGGAGUGAGCAGAAAGCUCCUCCAACCCGUUCAUGGGUUAAUGUUGCUAGGCUCUCGACAAAGGGAUAUGAACUUAGCUUCGUGCCUCCAACUUCUGUUGGAAAAAGAGGAGUGGUGCACCUCUCUGAGGAAGUGGUGCAUGCGGCAGAUCCAAAAUGGAAUCAUUGUUUGAUGGGGUAUUUCAUUGGCAAGAAUGUGCCGUUCAAAAUGACUGAGUCAGUCCUUAAGGAGAUGUGGGGCUCCCAUUUAACUGAAAUGCUUGCUGAUGAUGAAGGAUUUUAUUUCUUCUUUAUUCCUGACCCUGAUUACCGCAGGAAGAUUCUUGAGGAAGGUCCAUUGACAGUGAAUAGAGUGCCACUUAUUCUGAAACAAUGGGAUCCCACUCUUGAGCUGAGGAAGGACUUGCAAUCUUCUGUGCCAGUUUGGAUCCGUAUGAAAAACAUACUUUUUGCUUAUUGGUCUGCUCUUGGGAUAAGCCAGAUAGCAAGUGCGGUCGGUAGACCCUUAUAUGUGGACCCAUUGACUAAAAAAAUGAAACGUUUGUCUUUUGCAAGAGUAUGUGUCGAAGUGUCGGCUAAGUUAGAGAAAUGUGAAUCUGUGGAGGUAUUUCUGAAUGGGGAGUCCUUCAUUGUUCCUAUCUUGUACGAAUGGAUACCCAUUGCGUGUCCGAAAUGCCAGGUCUUUGGCCAUAACUGUGAGGAGAAAGAAGUUCCAGCACCCGUAGCAGAUAAGUCCCAUGAUGCUGUUGCUAAGGAAGCUCGAGAUGCUGCUGUGCCUACGGUGCCCCCCUCGAUUCCUCCCGCCCAGCCUCGUAAGGUGUCUUACGCUGACCAGUAGGAUGGCUGGAAGCAGGUAACUCGGAAGAAGAGGCAACCGUCGGGGUCUAAUGGGAAGGACUCUUCGACUCCUAUCUCUUCUUUGAAGUUUAUGGAUAAAUCAUAUUCUUCUCAAGCUUUAAGCAAGUCUGCCCAGAAAAAUAAAGGUGCUUUGAUUCCCAGCCCUACUGGACCUCCUUCCACGAUGGUUCCUGUUGAGCCGAUCCCAGAAUCUGCUUAUAUUGGGUCUGGCUCUACUGCUGAAGAAUCUGAGGAUGUGGCUAGUGCGGUAAGUAGCAGCUCAGAUGAGGAACCUGAUGGUCCUAGUGAAUUGGUUACAAAUGUUAAGCAUUCUGUUGUUUCUGAGGAAGCCCCUGCUAAAAGGAACUCGCCCAAGACUCCGUCUGUCCUAAAGUUGGCCGCCCCUCCUACCCUAGCGUUGGCUGCUCCUCCUGACCCUCCUCAAGGCACUAGCCGAAGGAGAUCACGUCGGUAACUUCUAUUCUCAUCGUAAUACAUUAUAUAGUUAUAUAUAGCUAUGUAUAUUGGAGUUUGGAAUAUUAGGGGACUUGGUACCCAUCUCAAACAAGCUGAAAUCAGAAACUUUGUUAGAUCUCAUAAUCUAUGUUGUGUUGGUAUUGUGGAAACAAAGAUUUCCCAGGGUGCCUUUAGUGCGAUCUCUGCUGUUUUGUUGCCGGGCUGGAAGUGGGAAAACAACUAUAAUCAUUCCUCGAAAGGAAGAAUUUGGGUGGGGUGGAACCCCCGUGAAGUCUUGUUUGUUACGAACUCUUCUUCAGAUCAAGCUAUUCAUGGAAAGUUAUCUUGCUUAAAUUCUGGUAAGGUUCUCUUCCUUACGGUGGUCUAUGCUGAGCAUAGUUUUGUGGCUAGACGUCCUCUUUGGGCUGACAUUAUUCAGACUAGCUCUCUCCUUUCGGGUUUCCCUUGGAUACUAGCAGGAGACUUUAAUGCAAUUCGUGACCCUUCGGAUAGAUUGGGUGGUUCUAAUGGUUGGAUCCCAGCUUUUGAUGAGCUGCGUGAGUGCCUCAUACAAGCUGGUCUUGACGAUCUCAGGUAUACCGGGAAUAGAUUUACUUGGGCUACUUCCAUGGGUGCCAACCGUAAGCAAAGAAAGAUUGAUCGUGUUCUCGUUAAUUCUUGUUGGACUGCUGAAUUUUCCUUUUCUGAGGCCUCUUUCUUGGCCUCUGGCAUUUCAGAUCAUUCUCCAAUGAUUAUUAAGAUUAUGCCUGCCCCUAAGUCUCGCAAGCCUUUCAAGUUCUUCAAUUUCUGGUUUUCUCAUCCGGAUUUUACUGAUGUGGUUUUGCAAGCUUGGAGUUCUCCCUUUGUGGGUUCUCCAAUGUUUAUUCUUUGCUUCAGGCUUCGGCUUCUCAAAUGUAAGUUGAAACAGAUCAACAAGGAGUCCUUCUCGGACUUGUCCUCUAGAACGGCUAAAGCAAGAUGUGCAUUGCUCCAAACCCAAGAUGCUCUUCAGAAUGACUAUUCGAAUAUUCAACUUGCUGAAUUGGAAAAACAACAGCUCCAAUCCUACUCGAAUUUGCUCCUUCAAGAGGAAUCAUUUUAUAGACAAAAGUCUCGGGUGCGGUGGUUGAAAGAAGGUGAUCUUAAUACUAAAUUUUUCCAUAACUCGGUAAACAAGAGACAACUUCACAAUAGAAUUAUCUCGCUCUCCGAUGGGAUUGUUUCUACCUCAAAUCCCUCUGAAGUUCAAAACCUGUUUGUUGACCACUUCCGAGAGUUAUUGGCCUUCUCUCCCCCUGCUACGAGGCCUUCGGUGGAGGAAAUGCGUGCGGUGUUGAAGCACACCCUUGAUGCGGAUCAGGUUCGCUUUAUUUCUAGCCCCAUCUCGGAGACUGAAAUUAAAGAUACUCUAUUCUCUCUUGCGGUGGGUAAGGCCCCUGGCCCUGAUGGAUACAAUGUGGAAUUUUUUAAACAUUCUUGGGAGAUUGUUGGACCUUCUGUUAUUCUGGCAGUGAAAGAUUUCUUUGAGACGGGCAUAUUGUUGCGGGAAAUUAACACAACUAUUUUGGCCCUGGUCCCCAAAGUCCCGAAUGCUUCCAAUGUGAAUGACUUUCGGCCAAUUGCUUGCUGUAACACAUUAUACAAGUGUAUUACCAAGCUUAUUGCUAAUCGGCUCUCUCAGGUGCUACCUUCUAUCAUUAGUCUGCCUCAAAAUGCCUUUGUAAAAGGUAGACACAUCAGUGACAAUAUUUUACUUGCUCAGGAGCUGUUUUGUGGUUUUCACAAUGAUCCUUACCGGCCUAAAUGUGUUAUUAAAGUUGAUUUUAGGAAGGCCUACGAUACGGUGGAUGGAGGUUAUUGAAUUGUGNNNNNNNNNNNNNNNNNNNNNNNNNNNNNNNNNNNNNNNNNNNNNNNNNNNNNNNNNNNNNNNNNNNNNNNNNNNNNNNNNNNNNNNNNNNNNNNNNNNNGAUUUGCAUUCGUACCCCUAAGUUCUCGGUUGCAAUUAAUGGGGAACUCCAUGGGUUCUUUUCAAGUGGGAGGGGUAUUCGUCAGGGUGAUCCCAUGUCGCCGUAUAUUUUUACUCUUGUGAUGGAAGUCUUUACAGGUAUUCUGGACAUUCAAACUUCACAUCCGGACUUUGGUUUUUUCUGGCGUUGCAAGCCCACCCGACUUUCUCAUCUUUUCUUUGUCGAUGAUGUACUACUCUUCGUUGAAGCUAACUUAUCGUCUAUUGAUCUUCUCAAGAAUGGUAUCGAGAAAUUUUCUAGCUAGAGUGGGCUGAUUCCGAAUCUUCGGAAGAGUGAAGUUUUCCUUUCUGGAGGCUCCUCUAACCUUCAUGAGGAUAUCCUCAAUAAGCUAGGCUAUCAGUUGGGCACCUUUCCUUUCCGCUAUCUAGGAGUACCGGUUAUUUCAGCUAGAUUAAGGAAAGCUGACUGUGUCUCCUUGGUUAAUUCAAUCACGGCUCGUGUUCAAUCUUGGACCAAUAGAUUCCUCUCCUUUGCGGGGCGUCUUCAACUUAUAAGGUCGGUGCUUCAUUCUAUACAAGUCUUUUGGGCUAAUGUGUUCUUUCUGCCAUGUUCAGUUCUAAAUCGAAUUGAGCAAAUUUUCCGCCAAUUCUUGUGGAGAGGCCCUGAGAUGGGUGCAAGUGGUGCUAAAGUCUCGUGGUGUAAUGUUUGCCUUCCCAAAAAUGAAGGGGGCUUAGGUAUUCGUACUCUAAGGGAGAACAACAUUGCGUCCAUGCUCAAACAUAUUUGGAUUCUUUUCUCGGAUAAAGAAUCCAUGUGGUGUAAGUGGAUUCAUUCCAAUUUCCUGAAGCGGAAAAAUUUUUGGGUGGGUCCUUGCCCUACUCAUUGCUCUUGGGCCUGGAGGAAGUUAUUAGAUCUUCGUGAUCAAUUUCAGCAAUAUUUCAGAUGGAACAUUGGAAAUGGGAGGUCGGUCUCCUUUUGGUUCGACCCUUGGCACCCAAAUGGUCCUUUAUACAGAUCUUUCUAUCAGAAUUUAUCGCUCGGGUAUAUCCCGCUCUGCUUCGGUUGCUGAUGGUUUUGCUACUCCUAUGGGCUGGUAUAUCAUUAACUUCAUGGCUAAUUGGUGGAAUCCACUUCCGGUAUUCAACCAAGAGGAGGAUCGGUUUCAGUGGCUUCCGCACCCAUCCGAUCACUUCUCCAUUGCUUCUGCCUGGGAUUUGAUCCGUCCGAAUCAUAAUGUCAUCUCGUGGGCUUCUUUUGUUUGGAAUACUGCCUUGCCUCCAAGAUAUCAAACGCAUCUUUGGCUUAUUUCGCGCAAUCGGCUGCCGACUCAGGUUUUGCUCAUCUCUUAUGGUAGGAUCCCCCCUACAAAUUGCCCCCUUUGUUCAUGCAGACCUGAUUCUAUAGAUCAUUUGUUCUUUGCGUGCCGUGCUUCGGAUAGUCUUAUUUCAUUUUGGGCGGCAAGAUUCAACCUAGUGUGGCGAAACAAGCGUUGGGUGGAUAAUUUGGCCUGGGCUUCCAAGCGGUUUAUGGGGAAGAGUUUUUAUCAGAUCCUAGCUCGGUUUAGUUUUGGUGCAAUGUGUUAUAUCAUUUGGAAAGAGCGGAACAAUGUGCUUUUUCGGAAUCAGACUCUCUUUCUUCCAGCGAUGAAAAUGCAUCUUCAGAAGGCUAUCAAAGAUAAGGCUAUGACCUUUAAGCAUGUUCCCAAUGUGCCCAUGAAUAGAAGACUUCAACGAAGCUGGAACAUCCAUCCUUCUAUUUUUGAUUGAUGGAGGUUUUCUAGUUUUUGUUGUCUUUUGUUUCCUUUUGUUGUUGUUGCUCCUUUUUUUCUGGGAACCAUGGCACCCUUACACUCGCUCUAGACUUUUGUCUUCUUGAGUGUCUGUUUUUGUUGGUGCCAGGCCUCCCUCUUGUCUUCUUUCUUGCAAAAUCAAUUUAUUACUUACCUUUACCAAAAAAAAAAAACAUUUUAUUAGAGAAUGAUGGAAGGGCAAGAAAGAAAUAAAAAAGAAAUUAAUUGAUAAAAGAGAGGAAAAUAAAAUAAAAUAAAGUGGGCAAGAGUGGUGCGAGAGUUUUUUACCAUCUCCAUUUGUAAAAUUUGUUUAUUCAUUUAUACUAAUACAAUGUUAAUAUCAAAUAAUGUACAUAAUAUAAUGUGAAUAGAUCCAAUUUGAUUACUGCAAUAACUAAACAGUGUAUAGGAUAUAACAAACUCUAUGGAUUUCAUAUCAUAUCAUAUUCAAUCAUAUCCUAGUUAAAAAAAUUCAAAUGACCAAACAUAAUCUAAAAGAAUGAAUCUACUUAUAUAAUAUGAAUAUGCCCCUGAAUGCACCCUUAUACAUUUUUUUUUUGUGAUUAUUCAAACGAAGAUGCAAUCUAAUUACUAGAAGAAAUUAUAUUUUUUUAUAUUUUUAUUCUAUAACUUGUGAUUAUGGUAACAAACAUAUGAAUAUGCCAAUAGAAUAAUACUUCAAUUUGACAAAUUUAGCCAUAAAUUUUUCAAUAUUUUAACAAUGUAAUCCAAGGCCGAUUAUCAUUGAAGUAGAUGUGAGGCAUUUUAUGUGGUAUGGUGAGUUUUGAUGUAGAUAAUUUUUUAAAAUUUUUUAAAAUUUUCUUCUUUCCUUCCUUUCAUUUUCUUUCUCUUUUCUUUUUGCCAGUGAUUGGUCACUAGCUUGGUGAGGGUCGCCCUCACUAGCUACAUGCGACUGUUGGCUAUGCCUAGGCAAGGCCUAGUGAGGCCGCCUUGGCUUGGGCGAGGGACCCUCACUUAGGCUAGGGUGGCCUCACCAACACUUGCCCUCCCCUAGAGAAGGCUGGCCCUUGCUAGCCAACAAAGUUCAAAAAAAUUGUAAAAAAUAUCUACAUCAAUGCUAACUAUAUCAUAUAGAAUGCCAAGCAUCUAGCUAGUGAUUUUCGGUCAAAAUUGGCCAAAUAGACUACAUUGACAAAUCGUCAAAAGGUUUAGGACUUGAUUAAUCAAAUUGAAAGGUUUAGCUUGGUCUCAACCAAGAGAAUACAUGCUGUCUCUGGCCGAGGGUGUUGCGGUAUUUGCUAAAAUCCCUUUCAUUGAAGGGUGCUGGCUGAGAUUUCAGUAGAGGGUGGCCGGGCUUAUGGGGGCUCGGGCUUGAAAAUUGAAGUGGGUUUUUCUCUUUUAAAUUUAAUUUAAUUUAGCCUGACGGGCCAGUUAAAUUGCAAUUCACAACCAAGCCGAUUUUAAUGGAAUUCAUUUGAUGUGGACAUGUUACUAGUGAACAAAAAAUGGUCAUACGCCUAAAUGCAAUGUGCAUGCAAAAUUGUGUGAUAUCAGUAUUUUGUUAGAAGGGUCAAAUAAUGUCAUUGUCAACAAAUUCAAUCCCAAAGUUUUUUGUGAAACGUCUGAGAUUUUUGACCAUGUACUCUCGAGAUUUUCCCUCUAGUUUUGCCUUCUCAAGUGAAUUUUUCACAGAGAGAGAGAGAGAGAGAGAGAGAGAGAGAGAGAGAGAGAGAGAGAGAGAGCCUAAGUAAUGAAUGGGCCAUGUGCAUUUAAAGGCAUAUGUUAGACUUCAAUUGCUAGAACAAUCAAAUCUUCCGCUCAUUCCAAGUUAUCACACGUCCUAGGGCCUCAACAUUUGGAACUUCUUCUAUUGGCAAAGAAAAAGGCUUGACAUGUUCUUGUUCGCAAUUGUUAAUAAAAAAUUAAUUUUUUUUUAAAAAAAUAUAAAAAUUGUCCACUAAAUUUGUAUUGUAAGAAAGCGUUUUGAUAAUAUAUAUAUAUAUAAGAAACAAGUUAUCCCAAAUUAGAUUAAAUAACGAUGUGUUGUAACAAUAUAGAUUGAAUUAGGUAUGGGUCAAGAAAUUUGUAUUAUAGAUAAAGGGAUCAUAAAUAGAUUAGUGAGUCAAUUUGGAUCGGACCAUUCAUGACCAGACCAAACCCACAUGUUAGACCAAACCCACCUGUUUGACAGGUCUAAGUGCCACAUAUAAUUUAUUGCAGCCAAAUCUUUUCUAGGAUUAAAAGUUGUACCAUGAACAAUUUUUUAAAAAAGCAUUUGGAAUUGAGAAAAUAAAAAAGAAAUAUGUAAUGUAUGUUAUGUUUUUAUCAUUUUUGUCCAAUUGUUUUGCACCAAUCUAUAAUUAAAACUUCUUUCUAGUCUAUAUUGGCGAGAUGACUGGAUAUGCAUUAAGAAUUAUCUCUGAACAAAAAUUUCCUAAUAAUUGGGAUAUCAUUAAAAAGUUCAAAAAACUACUUAUUUAAAUUAAUAAAUUAUCUAUUGGAUGAACUAUCCUGACUUAAAUAUUGAAUAAGAUUGGACGAACAUAGAUGACUCAAAAUGUGUCAAAUUAAGAUAGCAUUAGCAGACAAGAUCUUGAUACCAAUGCUAGGAAACAUGCUUUGUCAAAUUUAUGUCAAGAAUUAAUAAUUAAUUGUGCGUUGAAUUUUAGGAUUUAGGUUUUAGAUAUAUAAAAAACAUAUUUAAUAUAUUUACGAAUCAAAUUGCGUUUGUCUUGUGUUAAAAAAAAAUGAAUCUCGUAUUGUGCAUUGUAAUAUAUCAUGUUUGUCGUUUCAACUGUUGCUUAUCAAGUAUGUAAAUUUUCUCAACCAAAACAAGUAUGUGAAUUUUACUUUUGGGCAAUUGCUUAAAAGUAAGAAAAAUAUCAUUGAAAGGUAAAGAGAAAAAAAGCUUGAAAGUGGGAAUAGAAAGUGGGAGUAAGAUUCUCUCCCUCAUACAUGGUCAACAACAAAUAAUCAACCCACGCAUUUUAAUGCCUUCGAUGUUGCCAUUAUUGGUAAAUAAACUUCUUUAUCCCUGCGACGAUAAACGUACGAUGAACAUCUUAGAGGUAGAAGAGAGUUGGACUCAUGCUUUAGGAAGCAAGAAGCCAUUCACGGUAAACCCUCCAUGGACACAAAUGGUUUGCCCCGUAAUGUAAGAGGCCGCCGGCAACCACAAGAAGGCCACCAACGGCGAAACCUCCUUCGGCUCUCCGAUGCGACCGAGCGGUGUCCUUGCUAUCGCCUCCUCGUGGAAUUUCUCAUUGCCGAGUAGCUGCUAUGACGGAUGAGUUAAUGUUAGAUCACGAUGGCAAAGGUGAUGAAGAUUUAUGGGGUGAACUAUUUUCGAAGAGGAUAGGAAAUUUUAAGUCUUGGUAAAUUAAAUUACAUGGUCGGUGAGUGGGCUGCCUAUGAAAUAAGGUGCAAUAGAGUUGCUUCUUAUGUUGUCUUUAGCCCAUUCGCAAGCCAGAUUCUUGGUCAACUGGUUCAUUGCUCCAGUCAAUGAGUUGAGAAAAUAAGAAUAUAACUUGGCUAAGCUUGAACCAACCCCAAAGUGAUGCUCGAAAGUCCACUCUAGGGUCACUCAUUACUGUGUUUUGCAGCCAAGGGAUUUGACUAUGUAAGGCCCAGAUAUAUAGCCCACAGGCCUGAUUGGUUUGGUAAACCGAUCACUUGAGAAAAUUAGCAGUGAUUAGAGUCAUAAGUCCAUAAUUUGGAUGCCUUCUCCAUGACGGACGGUGAAGUGUUCGUCUUCAUCGAUAUCUCAGACAAUCUUUCUCAUCUCUUGCCUGCCCCUUGAUCUUGAGAAUCCAAGUGAAACUAUCCAUAGUGUUCACUUUAUCACUAGAUUGAGAGAUCAACGUAAGUGUUAUUCUAUUGGUUGCUCGAGAAUUCACUUGCUCAUCUUGAAAAAUAGUACUUAGAUAUUAUGGGAAAAUGCUACGUGAGAAAUUAAAUAUGAAAAAGAUAUCAUACAAAGAUAUAACAUCAUUGUCAUGCCAUAAUUUCGCAAUACAUUGACACUGUUCUAAUGAUAAAAUCAAUUGUCCCUGCGAUGAAAAUUCACGAAGUAGCGUCUUACAGGCAAAAGAAAGUUGGGCUCAUGCUCCAAGAAACAAGAAGCCAUUCACGGUAAACCCUCCAUCGACACAAAUGGUUUGUCCCGUUACGUAAGAGGCUGUCAGCAUGCACAAGAAGACCACCAAUGAUGACACCUCCUUGGCUCUCCAAUGUGGCCGAGCGGCGUCCUUGCUAUCACCUCGUCAUGGGACUUUUCGUUACUAACCGACUACGAUAACAUGAGUUCAUGAUGAUGGAUUUAUGAGAUGGGCUUAAGGCCCGUCCGCCCAUGCUGGGCCCAAAAGGCCCGGCCCACGGGAAUAGGGCCCGUGGAAGGGGAAGGUAUAAAAGGGAGGAGAGAGAGAGAGAAGACAUUGGUUGGAAAAACAGAUGUACGUACGCUUUUCUCCUGCGCGCGUUCUCUCUCUCCAAAAGACAAAAAGAACAGUAAGGCAAAUGGCACUGUUUUCCCUUCAAUUGACAUCAUCAGAUCAGAAUUUCUUCCUCUUCUUCAGCAUCGGUGUCUAAUCUGUGGCUAACAAGGUACGCUCGAAUCCGUGGUGUGCUUUACGAUCGGUGAUACGUGUUAUCCCGGGCUUCGUCUUCCGCAUUGAUUUAGGGGUUCGAUUUAGUGUCGAAUCCGGUUUUCGGGGAUCAGUAAUUCCCAACAUUGGUAUCAGAGCCAGGUUCACGUUUUUCCCGAUCAAUUUGAUGUUUUUUGCUUGAUUUUUCGCAAAAAAAAUUUCGGCCGUACGGAUCGGGGCGAGAAAUCCCGACACCCGAGCAUUGUUCGGCCAUUUUUCUGAGUUUCAGUAAGUCGGAAUCAAAUUUUGAAGGCACUGGGUGAAAGGCGACGUCGAGACGAGUCCGGUGACAUGUCGUGCGUCACCGGACGACGCCGCACGCGCCCACACGCGUGGCCACAAGCCGCUGCGCGUGUGCGCCACGCGCCCAAAGCGCUGGCCAUGGCCAGCGCGUGCGCCACAUGCGCCGGUGACGAACCGGCACGUGCGCGCCAGCGACUGGCGAAACGGCACGCGCCGGUCGGCGAACCGACGUGUGCUAACGUCACCCGAUGACGUCAUCGUGACGUCACCCAACGGUCGAUAACCGUCGGAAUGACGUCAUUGAUGACGUCAGCGCCGACGACGGUUGGCCGGCCGGCGACCCGACCCGACGGCGACCAACCCGACCCGAUCAGCCUAGCGCAUGCCGUGCACGUGCAGCUGACGUCUGCGUGACGUCAGCACGCUCAUGCGCGAGGCACGUGCCGGCUGACGUCUGCGUGACUCAGCCAACGCACGCGCGAGGCAUGUGCGGUCGGUUCGUCCGACCGGUCCUCCGACCCGCGCGCCCGUUGACCCGACCCGUUGACCGUUGACCGUCGACCGACCGUUGACCCGUUGACUUUGACCGUUGACCCGAAAAAAAGAAAAAAAAAGAAAAAAAAGAAAAAGGAAUUUGUUUCUUUUUUCAUUUAUGUCUGUGUGGGUUGUAGGUAAUCCAUUUUUAUUCUGCAUUUGUUGCAUGAAUCAUGGAAAUUUAUGUAUUUUCCAUUUUGUUAUUAUGGAUUAUAAGUGAUCCAUUUUAGUUCUGCAUUUGUUGCAGGAACUAUGAUGCGUUAUGCACGGAUACUUGCAAUCCCAAGAAUGGAUGAAGGAAGAGCUAGACUGAAAAGGCUGAUGAAAGAGUUAGUUGAUUAUCGGUGGCUUGAUGGUGAUUUAGUAUUACACAUGGUCAAGGUCAAUCAGAUGAUACAGGAAAUCAUCUGGAAUGGUUAUCUUAUGCCGGACUUUGAGAAGGUGCCGGCUUUGAUGAACACUCUUCCACCUGAAUGGCAAGCAGUGUUAGAUCGGCUAUGGGAGGUCAACGUGGUCCCGGGUUAUAGGAGGCUGGUGGAAGCUUUUGUAAGAGAGCACUAUAAGAUUGAGUUAACCAAAACUUCAACCCUUAGGUUGAGCGCCACAUGGCGCAGAGUGAAUGCGCCUUGGUGGCGACAUGAAUGCUCUCCAAAAGUUUUUCCAUGGUUGGCAAAUGUGCCUUUAGUUUUCUCAGAUGUUUUUGACUGAUAGAUUAGAAUGGACAUUCCCUAUUUAUUUCUUUGAUUAAUUAUGUAAUGCUUACUACCUGAUUGUUGUUGAUGUAGCAACCGAUAUGUUAGUUGUAUCAUGUGAAAGCAUUGUUAUUUUAUUGGAUGUUAGAUUUUAUCUGCUUUCUGUUAUUGCUGAUUGCUGUGGGUAAUUAGUUGUGGGUAGUUUAGAAGUUUUUGUAGCUUCAUAGAAUUGAUUUUGCAUAUGACAAUCAUAUUAAUGAUAGUUUUAAGUUAGGAUUUUUGGAGGAUGAUUGGAAACGUAGUGACCUUUUGAUUCUGAAACCUUACUUGAAAUUAUUCAUUGAUAUGAUGGGUCUGUGCAAAUAGGGAUGCAUAAAUGAUAGGCAUUAAUUAUUCGUGCAUGUAUGUCUGAUGUGUUCAGAUCGAUGUUUUCAGCAACUAAGAACGUAAUUGCUGAUGUAAACGGCAGCAAUUGUGAAAUAUUGAAUAUGAAGAUUCAAUAUGUGCUGAAAAAGCAAGAAGCACUAGAAGCUCUUGACCAUGUUAUGGAAGAUCUUGAGGAUGCUGUGCGCCACCUUGAGCUGGUAGAGGACCGCUUGACGGUAUGUGAGCCGAAAAUAGAUACUUUCAAUGUUGGUUCUAGCUCAGAAAGAGCUUUGUGCUAGAAGCGCAAACAUAUUGAUUCGUUCAAUAUGUGGGAAUGCAAAGGAUCAAGUCCUUAUUACAAGAAAUCAAGAGUUAACCAACACAAGAGAGGAAAACGUCCUCAAGUGAAGAAAAUGUCAAGGGUGAAAUGUUACAAUUGUGACAAGAGAGGUCACUAUGCUUGCAACUGUCGUGACCCAAAGAAGGCAUACACCUCUUGUACAUUUGAGAACUUUGCUUAUGUGUCAAGUUCUGCAUUAUAGGCUGAAUCCAAUCCUUUGUGGAAUGUAGAUUCAGGAGCGACAGACCAUGUAGCAAAGGAUAGAGGAUCCUUCAUGGAAUUCCGACGAUACCAAUUGGAACUAAGUGGAUCUAUAUUGGAAAUAACUCCAGAGCUGAAGUUAAAGGGAUUGGCACCUGCCAAUUGAACAUGCGUGGUGGACGCAACUUGUUCCUACAUGAUGCUCUAUAUGCUCCGGAGAUUCGUCGAAAUUUUAUGUCUGUUUUGGCGUUGGUUAAGCUUGGUUUUUAAUAUGAACUUCCAUAAUAGAUGUGUAGAUUUGUAUUUGGAUACAAACUACUAUGAUUUUGGUCACUUUCUGGAUGGUUUUAUUGUACUAAAUGUUGACUGUGGUGAUGUCAAUAUGUUAUUCCCUCGUUUCACGUCUUCUACUUUAUAUGAUAAUGAUGUGAAUAUGGUGGCAUGCUAGACUUGGUCAUAUGGGCCAACAACAUAUGAAAAGACUAGCCAAAGAGGGCUUGUUGGGCAAUAUUGAAAAAGUCGAUUUGCUUAUAUGUAAGCAUUGCCUGGAAGGGAAAACGACAAGGAAACCAUUUGGAAAAGGUAAAAGAGCUUAAUUUCCUCCGCAUUUAAUCCAUACUGAUAUCUGUGGUCUAAUGAAUGUGAAAGGAAGGCAUGGGGCUGUUUAUUUCAUCACUUUUAUAGAUGAUUACACUCGAUUUGGAUAUGUCUAUUUGAUUUCUCAUAAAUCUGAAGCAAUAAGUUGUUUCAAAAGGUUUAUGAACCUGGUAGAGAAUCAAUUAGACAAGAAAAUAAAAGCAUUGAGAUCCGAUCGAGGUCGAGAAUAUUUAUCUGAUGAGUUCAGAAAAUUAUGUGAUGAAAAAGGAAUAGAAAGACAGUUGUCUAUUACAUAUACUCCUCAACAAAAUGGUGUUGCGGAGAGAAGAAACAGAACCCUACUAGAAAUGGUUAGGUCCAUGAUGGCGCAUGCUAACUUGCCUAUCACCUUUUGGAGUGAUGCAUUGUUAACUGCUGCGUAUAUACUUAACCGGGUGCCUUCCAAAUCAAUUACUUCCACUCCAUAUGAGUUAUGGACGGGUAGAAAACCGGACUUAAGUUUUCUUAAGCCAUGGGGUUGUGCUACCUAUACACAUGAGUCCUCUCACAAGUUUGGGAAACUGGGUCCCAGAGGAAAGAAGAGUAUUUUUAUAAGGUACUCUGAACACUCGAAAGGAUAUAUGUUCAUAGGUGAGCAGGAAAGUGGGAGUAUAACUGAGUUUGAAUCACAAAAUGUCACAUUCCUAGAGGAUGAAUUUCCUAAGAAGGGUGAAAUAGGGGAAGAUUGUUCCCUAUUUGAAACCUUGGAUCAAGAUAAUGACCUUAGUGGACUUCAUCCAAGUGGGAGCAUAAUGGGGAAUGAUGUGCAAAGUGUACAAUCUCCCAUACGGCGAACAAGUCGCCAAAGUAUUCCUCGUUGACGUUUUGACAUUGAAGGGGAGACUUUUAUGGUUGCUCCACAAGAUGAGGAUGAGCCAAGAAAUAUUAAUGAGGCUCUGAAUUGCCCUAGUAAGGAAAAAUGGAUUAAUGCAAUGGAAGAGGAAAUGGAGUCAAUGAAAUCAAACCAAGUCUGGGAACUGGUUGAUCUACCAAAAGGACGCAGAGCUAUUGGGAACAAAUGGGUUCUCAAAAUAAAGCGAAAGGCUGAUGGCUCGAUUGAAAGGCAUAAGGCUCGCCUUGUGGCGAAGGGGUAUAAUCAACAGGAAGGAAUUGAUUAUGAAGAUACGUUUUCUCCUGUAGUGAGAUUUACCUCAAUUCGCAUUAUUCUGGCAAUAGUGGCUAGUCUGGAUCUUGAAUUACAUCAAAUGGAUGUAAAGACUGCUUUCCUCAAUGGAGAAUUAGAGGAAGAAAUAUAUAUGGAACAACCUGCUGGUUUCAUAGUGAAAGGCCAAGAAGAAAAAGUAUGUCGACUUUUGAGGUCGAUAUAUGGUCUUAAGCAGUCAUCAAGACAAUGGUAUAUACGUUUUCAUAAUGCCAUAAUGGCAUAUGAUUUUACAAUGAUUGAUGAGGAUCAUUGUGUAUAUAUCAAAAGAUCCAAGGAUCAAUUUGUGAUCAUAUCAUUAUAUGUUGAUGAUAUACUAAUUGCCGGAAGCAAUAUGGAGUUUGUUAAGACCGUCAAGAGUUGGUUGUCUUCCAACUUUGAGAUGAAGGAUAUGGGUGAGGCUGCAUACAUUCUUGGAGUUAAGAUUUCAAGAGAUCGCUUGAAGAGAUCGUUGUCUCUUUCGCAAGAAACUUAUAUAAACAAAGUUCUAGAACGGUUUCAUAUGCAAGAUUGUAAACCCAUAGACACUCCUAUUGCAAAAGGUGAAGGAUUGAGCCAUAGACUGUGUCCAAGGACUCCACAAGAGAAGGAACAAAUGAAACAUGUUCCUUAUGCAAGUGCUGUUGGGAGCUUGAUGUACGCUAUGAUGUGUACAAGACCCGACAUAUGUUUUGCAGUUGGAAUGGUGAGUAGAUACCAAUCCAAUCCAGGUCCAGCACAUUGGAAAGCCGUUAAGAGAAUACUGAGGUAUCUGAAGGGAACUGCUGAUUACAAGUUGAAUUACCAAGGAAAGGAUCUGCGACUUGAAGGCUAUUCAGAUGCUGAUUGGGGAGGAGAUUUAGAUAAAAGAAAAUCUACCUCAGGAUUUGCUUUCUUAUUGAGCAAUGGCGCCAUAUCAUGGAGUAGUAAGAAGCAAACAUGCAUAGCCUUAUCCACAAUGGAAGCUGAGUUCGUGGCAUUAUCAGCAGCAGUACAAGAAGGAGUUUGGCUUAAGAGAUUCUUGGAUCAUUUAGGUGUUAUUGAGAAAGCUGCAAAUCAAUUAUUGAUUAACUGUGAUAGCCAAGCAGCUAUAGCGUACACCAAAGAUCCAAAGUAUCAUGGCAAGACCAAACAUAUAGAUACCAAGUAUAACUUUGUAAAAGAUAUGGUUGCACGAAAGGAUGUGAACUUACAGUACAUAUUCACGCAUAGAAUGGUAGUAGAUCCUAUGACAAAGCCAAUACCUAGAGAUGUGUUUUGUGGUCAUGUAAAAUCUCUAGGAUUGCGUAGAGUCUGAUGUACUGAAUUGUAAUUUCCCUGAGUUGUUCACAUUUAUGAAAUUUUGUUUUUCAUUGAUUAAUGCCUAUGAAUCUUUGUAUGAUCUUUAUGCAUCUUAAUACUUAGUGUAUUAUUUUAAGUUGAGAAGUAUGUCGGACAGAUAAAAGAUUAGCCCACUCACACGGGUAAUCGCUUCUGUUUACUAUGUGAUAAAUAGAGAUGAGACUGAUUUUAAAUUUAUUAUCUAUGUGAUAAUCGAGAGCUCAAGCUUAAAAUACGUAUGUCGCCUUAACUAAGUGUUAAGAUGAGGACAUAAUACUUACGAUGUCCGAAAGUAAAAUACCCACAAUCUGUCUAUGAUGCCAAAUGUGAGUUCUGAUGAAUUUUGUGAUUGAGUAGAUAUGUGAACUCAAGUUAGACAUUAGGUAUGUCUAAACUAUCAUCUGUACGGUAUUGAAAAGUGCAGAUAUACGCUCCAUGGGAAAGGAGUUAAUACCGUAAUACAUAUUUCAUAAUACGUAUGCAUGAGACGACCAAUAAGAGUGGCAAAAAGUUUGAUCUCAACUUUUAUGACGUGUGAGACUCUUGAGGAAAAGAGUUCAUCAAUUUUUUAGUCCCCUCAGGACUCUUACUUAUUCUCAAGAUUUCUAUUUAGUGUUUGCUAUCUUAGGGUGUUGCCAAUGGUCAUCAAUGGUCAUGAGAUGAUUCGAUCUAAUGGGGCAUUUCUAGAAAAGCAAGCUGGACUGAAAUUGAGAGUUUGAAGGAAAGAGGAGAAUCACAUUGUAGUUUUUGUAUUCACCGGUUAACCAAUUAUGACUGUCUUUGUGAUAAUCAUAAUUGUGAAUACAAUAUAUAUAUAUAUAUAUAUAUAUAUAUAUAUAUAUCAUUGUUUAAAAGAGAUCAAAAGAGAUAUAAAUGUGAUCGAUCGAUCUAAGGUACUGCAUACUAAAUCUACUCAGAGUGAAAUGCCCAUUAUGAGCUGCUAUAUAUUCCUAACAGAUGUAUGGCAACGAGCUCUCAAAGUAUGCUGGUUGCACGGAUUAUUCACCGGUAUGAAUGUUGAAGAGAGGAAAAGAGGAUUCUGUUCGGCCCAUCAUGUUAAGUGAGAGUCUAUGAUGGAUUUUUCUCUGAUGAGGCUGAGUAGGGCCUGUCCGCCCAUGUUGGUUUUGGACCACCAUGUGCGAGUGGGAGAUGAUGGAUUUAUGAGAUGGGCUUAAGGCCCGUCCGCCCAUGCUGGGCCCAAAAGGCCCGGCCCACAGGAAUAAGGCCCGUGGAAGGGGAAGGUAUAAAAGGGAGGAGAGAGAGAGAGAAGACAUUGGUUGGAAAAACAGACGUACGUACGCUUUUCUCCCGUGCGCGUUCUCUCUCUCCAAAAGACAAAAAGAACAGUAAGGCAAACGGCACUGUUUUCCCUUCAAUUGACAUCAUCAGAUCAGAAUUUCUUCCUCUUCUUCAGCAUCGGUGUCUAAUCUGUGGCUAACAAGGUACGCUCGAAUCCGUGGUGUGCUUUACGAUCGGUGAUACGUGUUAUCCCGGGCUUCGUCUUCCGCAUUGAUUUAGGGGUUCGAUUUAGUGUCGAAUCCGGUUUUCGGGGAUCAGUAAUUCCCAACACAUGUCAUAUCAUGAUGACGAACCUGAUCAAGAUCUAUGUAGUGAUCUGUUUUCAAGCACGAGAGAAAAUUUACAGCCUUAAGAGAUAAUCUUACAGGCUCGGCUUGUGGGGCCAUUAUGUGCCAAGGUGCAAUAGAGUUGCCUCUGAUAUUGUCCUUAGCCCAUUCACAUGCCAAAUUCUUGGUUAAUUAAUUCAUUGCUCCUAACAAUCAACUUGGAGAAAAAAAGAGAGGAAUUUUUUAGCUCCAUAUGAAAAAAGUUCAGACAGUUAGUUAUGAUAAUAUUAACUUACCUUUGGUUGUCGAGCAAAUUUGUCCAACAUUCAUUGAAACAACGCCGCAAACAGAUGACAAUAACACAAUGCUUUCGGCUUUUGAGGCCUUGAGAAGGGGAUGCACGAGUUGACUUAGACAGUAAGCUGAUUCGAAGUUAGUUGUCAUGAUAAAUGAAAAAUUUUCCGUUGUUUAUUCCAUGGUCAGCUUUGCUCUGUUGGUUUGUUGAUCUACCACACAAACCACUCCCAAUAAAAUGAAAACCAAGUACCAAAUCUAUUGAAAGAAAUGCACAAAUUACGACCUUGUUAUUGAUGUUGUAAUCGGAUCCAUAGGAUCAGACUUACUAGGAUUUUGAGCUUCUUGUCAAAGAGGGAGGACACAGUAAGCAUCAGCUUCUCUUGCUCCGAUCAUAAGGAAAAAUCACAAGUCGAACCCGCCACCCGGAAACCCUUUCUCUUCCAAUCUUUCAAGCAUUCAUGAAUAUCCGGCUGCAUUUCUGGAACAGAUAUACACGGUGGCCCCAAGCCUCGCUGGCUUCUCGACAAUGGCAUGCCUAAUCAUGGUACAACAAUAUGACUAUUAAGCCUUAGUACAUGUCAUACCUAGGAUUGUUAUGAACAGGCCAUUUUAGCAACGCAAUCCUCGAAGUAAUUGACCUCUCUUUUAUGUCCCUCGUCAUUUUCAUCGAUCAAGUUUUAGAUGGCGAUUAUAUAGAUUUUCUAGCUUAUUAUUUAUAGAAUCCAACAUUACUGAAUUUAGAAGAACCUACUAUCUCUUGGGGCAAGCCUAGCUGAAAACGAUUUUAUCAAGCCUAGACAGGCUUGAGCCGGGCUACUAAACCCAUUUGUGCUAUUACUAGUUAAACAUUAUAUGAGGGAUGCAAUGGCCGAAAAUAGCAUCAAACGCCUUUUAACCUGUGGCUCCAUGGUGGUGAGCUUUGCAUAAGCUUUUUGAUGUAUAUGAUACAGCCUGCACAUUGUCAGAAGUUAUGUACGCAAAAUUUCGGGCCUAAGCCAUAAUAGCCCGGAUUAGACUUGGCCAGAGUUAUUUAGCCGGGCUAGUAUAUAAAGGACUGAUCACCCGGCCAAGAAAUUCUAGGCCAUAUUUGUUCUCAUAGGACCAAAAAGGUACCUCGACGUUCGGAUUGCCUAAUCCGUACACAAUUCUACUGUCACACACAUUAUUAUGAAGAAAUAAGAUGCCAUAAUUGACAGUUUUCAGAUGCCUAUUCAUCAUGUUUGUUCCUCCAACCUAAACCAAAAUAGUCAAUCGAUUAUCGAAAUCAACAUUGCAAAAGAAUGAGGUGUUUGAGUGAGAGAGAGAUUCGAUUCCAUUAGUUCCACCAGUGACGAGAGCGCUCAUUCCGGGAAGCGACCACCUGUUGUUGUUGUUGUUGCGCUGCCACAUCUCCUUGCCGUUUCACUCCCCUCAGGAGCCCUUCUCUUUCUUUCUUUCUUUCUUUCCAAUUGUUGAUGGCGCAAAGGAAGAUUGAUGACACUUCCCAAUUGUUGGCAUCUGGGUCAUUCCUCUGAUCGGGUAUUGCAUACUCUCGAUAUGACUUUAAGUUAUGAUUCCAAUUGCUGUGAUCCUUGUUAUUAUGCUAAGUAGCAUAGGUUACAUUUUCCACAUAGCACACAUAAAUCAGAAUAGUUAUUUUAUUUAGUUCAUUCGGAUAUUUGGGGGAUUUCUCCAAUUGACUCUAAGGAGGGGUUCAAGUAUUUUGUUAUAUUUAUUGACGACAAAUCUCGAGCUACAUGGCUUUAUUUGCUUAAAUCCAAAAGUGAAGUUAUGACCGUGUUUCAAGAUUUUUGCAAUUUGGUGAAAAAUCACUUUUAACACUGGUGAAAAUUCUUUGUCUAGACAAUGGAACUGAAUAUACCAAUCAAGCUUUUCAAGUGUUCCUACGUGGCUUGAGAGUCAAAACUCUUGCACGGGAAGUUCAUAGCAAAAUGGAGUUGCGAAAAGGAAAAACAGGCAUCUGCUUGAGCUUACCUGAACAUUGUUAUUCUUAGGAAAUUUACCCAAGACAUAUUAGGUGGAUCCAAUCCUUACUAGUUGCUACUUAAUCAAUUGUUUGCCUAGUAAGGUGUUGGGUAUAAAGUUUCAAUUGAAAGUCUGUAUGGUCCAAAAUUUGGUAUCUCUCACCUAAGAAUUUUCGGACGUGUGUGUGUUAUGUGCAUUCUUGAUCUAGUGACAAGCCGGAUCCAUGAGCUCGAAAGUAUGUGUUUGUAGGAUACUCGAAUUUCAAGAAGGGAUAUAAAUGCUAUGAACCAAGUACUGGACGUGUUUAUAUAUCUUGUGAUGUUUUCUUCAAAGAGGCUUACAUAUAUAUUAGGGAAUCAAAUUUAGGGGGAGCAAGGUGACUUUUCUGAAUUUUUGCUUCAUGUCCUACCUAUCAGGAAUUCAAUGUUGGAUCAAGAGGAAGUUCCAACAGUGGUUGUUCAAGGGAGUCAGCUAGUCCCCAAUGUCGUUGCCAUUCCUGAUGUAGUUGCCAUUACAACAUAUGCAACUGAUUUGGAAGUUAGGGCUAAAUAUGCAACAGAGAUAGCUCCAACGGAUGUUGCAUCCAUUAUCUUAGCCCCAACCCACAAGUCAUCAUGCAUUCCAAGGCCUUCAACGUCGCUAAGUGAUUUUUCAACAUAUCAUAUUACUCAGCAUCCCAUUUAGGAUUUUAUUAGGUAUGAUAGAUUUUCUCAUAAUUAUUUAAGUUUCUGAUUUGCCAUUAAAAAUCAAAAGGAACCCAAUACCUUCUUGGAAGCAUGUAAAAGAAGUGUGGGUGAAUGCCAUGAAAGAUGAGCUUUAGGCAUUGGAUCGUAACCAUACUUGGGAACUUGUUAAGUUGCCAAACAGGAAAAAGACAGUUGGAUGCUGGUGGAAUUACAAGAUCAAAUACAAUACUAAUGGUUUGGUUGAGAGGUACAAAGUUCGGCUUGUCGCAAAAGGGUAUACUCAAUCCUAUGGGAUAGACUACAAGGAAACAAUUGCUCUUGUGGUGAAAAUGAACAUUGUUCGUGUCCUUGUACCUGUAGCAAUUAACUGUAGGUGGCCAUUGUUUCAAAUGGAUGUGAAUAAUGCCUUCCUCCAAGGGGGACAAUGUUCAUAUGGAUAUCCCUCCAGGACAUCCCUUAGAGAAUAAUAAGGGAAUGGUUUUCAAAUUGAAGAAGGUAAUAUAUGGUCCCAAGCAGUGGCCUAGAGCAUGGUAUGGCAAAUUGAGUUCCGCACUCGAUAGAUUUGGUGUCAAAAGGAGCGUGACUUAUUUUUUCAAUGUUUACUAAAGCAAUUGGUGAAUGUAUUGUUGUUAUUCUAAUUUAUGUUGAUGAUCUUAUUAUUACUAGCAAUAACUUAAUGGGUAUUGCAGAACUUAAACAGUUGUUGAGCAAAGAGUUUGACAUUAAAGAUCUUGAAAAAUUGAGGUAUUUUUUGGGCAUAGAGGCAGCAAAUUCUGACAAAUGUAUGUUCUUGACUCAAAUGAAAUGUAUCCUAAAUCUACUGAAGGAGAUUGGUAAGUUGGGUGUUUAAAUUGCUAGCACUCCUAUGGAUUACAGCAAUAAGACUGUGUCUAAGGAAACACCAUUACAAGAUACUGGGCAAUUUCAGUGUUUGGUAAGGAGAUUGAUUUACCUAACUAUUACUAAACCAGACAUUACUUAUUCUGUCAGCUAUGGGCGUGUUUGUUUAAAAUUGUUUAUGUUCCUUGGAACACAAAUUUUUGUUCUAUUGUUCCGGGGAACAAAAAAACAUAUGUUCACACUUUUGCUCAUAGGAACAUAUUUGAAACAGAAAUAAGAAGUAAAAAAAAAACUUGUUUCUUGUUCUCGGGAACACUUCCGAGAAAUACUUUUUUUUUUCUUCUCAUUUUUCUUCUUUUUUCACUUUCUUUUCUUCUUCUUUUCUUAUUCCUUUUGCCGAUCACCGACCUUGACCAUGGUCAGUGCCGGCGACCUCGCCAGAGCAUCGCCAAUCCUCGGAGAGGCUAAGCCACAACGAGGCUCGUCAACCUGAGCCUCACUGUAGCUCGCUGUGGCUGCACGAGGCUCGGCCUCGCUGGGCCACCUCCAGGAUGGCGUUGCCUGGCAGUGGCUCGAGCGGCCAUGGCGAGGCUUGGCUUCACACCGGCUGGGGAGGCCGAGCCUCGUCGAUGGCUUGGCGAGGCUCGCCUGGCCAAUGGCCUGGCAAGGCUCGUCGGGGCCAGGCUGGCCUCUGGUGAGCUCACUGGACGUCACCCAGCCGAUCGCUGGCCACCGCCGUGGCCAACGACCAAUCAAAGAGAAAAAGAAAAAGGAAAAAGAAAAAAAAUGAACAAUAAAAUAAAAACAUUAAAAAAAUUAAAAGAAACAAAAAAUUAUACAAGUUUACCUAAUAUGUUUAUGUUCUUUUUCUAUUCUAGGAACAGAAAUUUUAUACAGUUACUAAACGUGUUCUUCUGUUAAAAAAUUGUUCUCCGGAACAGAAAUAGUUUUUUUCUAUUUCUGUUCUAAGGAACAAUUUUUGAAUAGAAAUGUUAAAAACGCGCCCUAUGUAAGCCAUUUAUGUAAACACCUACACAAGGGCAUAUAGAGUUGUUAAACUAGCUCCUUCAAUAUCUAAAAGCUUCUUUGGCAAGAGGAACUUUUUUGAAGAAUAAUGGUAUUGUGGGAUUUACUAAUAUUGAUUGGGCUAGGAACCUAAUGGAUAAAAAAUCUACCACAGAUUUUUGUACCUUUAUUGGUGGAAACAUUAUUACUUGGAAGAGUAAGAAGCAAACAGUUGUGGUUAGAUCUAGCACAGAGGCUGAGUACCAAGCCAUGGCUACCGCCACUAGUGAGAUUGUAUGGCUUCAUCUAUUACUUUAAAAAUUGGGCUGCAAUGCCAUGUCUAAGCCUACAAAGCUAUUCUGUGAAAAUUAGGCAACAAUACACAUUGCUUCAAAUCUAGUCUUUCAUGAUAGAUACAAACGCAUAGAGGUCGAUUGUCACUUUGUAAGGGAAAAGGUUCAAGACAAGAUGAUAGAAACACCAUAUAUUUGUAGUAAGGAUCAACUUGCUGAUGUGUUCACCGAAGCUUUAUCCAAUGGAGUAUUUCAAGAUAUGAUGAACAAGUUGAUCUCUAACGAUGUCUUCGCUCCAACUUGAGGAGGAGUAUUGGCAAUAUUGGGGGGAUUUGCGCUCCUAUUCAAGGAAAGGAGAGAUUGUAGGCAAAUUUGUAUAUUGAUAGUUUUCCUAUUUUUUGGGUUUGCUUGUUUCCUUUGUCGUAGCAACCUUGUGUACAAAUUGCAGAAAAAUGUCAUGACAAAAAAAUAAGAGAGUUGAGAGUUUUGUCCAAAGACAUAGGCACAUUGCAAAACCCCUUAAUCCGUGUGUUCUUUUUUGUGAUUGACUUGCUAAAAUUCAACAGGCCUCACUAGCUUGGGACUCUUGGGGACACAACAUUGCAUCACCGUGCCGUCAUUGAGGUCGCCAGGUCAGUGACGGUGGACUCGACGCCAGACAACGAGAAGGAGAAGUGGAGGCACUAGUCCCUCAUUGCCGUGAAGCUAAGACUCUUGGCCAUUGGACUGAAUCUUAAAGCUCGAUGCUCUUUUUGCGACCGCUUCCCUCCUCCUCUAGAAGCAGAGCAAUGGUGAGCGACCCCUUCCCUCCUCCUCUAGAAGCAGAGCAACGGUGGUGAUGCGAGAGGCGGGUGGUGACGCCGAUUUACAAAGACAUUCAUAAAGCGAGGACGACGACGAUGUUUCAAAGGUUUGAAUUGGUUAAGGUUGUGGUGAGGGUCGCUUUGAGAGUGCUGAGUGCUGAAUAAGAGAUGAGAGGUGUGUGCUUUUGACAAAAGAAGAACAGUACAGAAUAAGAAAAAAAAGAAAGUUCAGAAAACUAUAUUAAAUAAAAAAAGGAAACAACAUAAUUUUGCCUACAUCAAAUUACCGACUGUCAAAUAUUUGAGAAUUAAGGUAAAUCGGAGAUGAAUAACCGUCAUGUUACUAUUUUCUAAAAAACUUGACAGGAGUAUUAUAUUAAAAUUUUAUUAAAUAUUCAAGAUUACAUUGGUAAAAUUUAAAAAUUUAAAAUUAAAAUGACAUCUUUAUAAUAGCUGUAUGACUCAAUUAAUUUUUUUUUCAAUAGUGAGAAUAGAAGGUGAGAGUAAAUGAACAUAAAUAGUAGCUUCUACUGUCCCUUAUGUACGAACAAGAAAUUGUCUACCCACACCCGUGAAUGUGCAGAGAUUUUGCCAUUAUUGAUUAAUAAACUUCUUACUAAAGUUGCACUCAUGUUCUAGGAAAUAAGAAGCCAUUCACGGUGAACCCUCCAUCAACACAAAUGGUCUGCCCUGUUAUGUAAGAGGCUGCUGGCAAGCACAAGAAGGCCACUAAAGACGACACCUCCUCCGGCUCUCCGGUGCGGCCGAGUGGCGUCCUUGCUAUCACCUCCUCGUGGAACUUCUUGUCACUAAGUACCUGCAACGAAAUAUGAGUUAACAUCAGAUCAUGAUAGCGAACAUGGUCAAUAUUGAUGUGGUGAACUAUUUUCCAGCAUGAGAGAAAAUUUAAAGCCUUGGUAGAUCAAAUUACAGGCUCGGUUUGUGGAGUUAAUAUGAACCAAGGUGCAACAGAGUUGCUUCUUAUGUUGUCCUUAGCCCAUUCGCAUGCCAAAUUCUUGGUCAACUGGUUCAUUGCUCCUGCCAAUCAAUGCGGAUAGAAAACAAAAAAACAAACGCAAUUUGUUUAGCUCCCUAUUAAUAGUGUUUAGAUAGUAAAUAACGAUAAUGCUAUUACCUUUGGUGGCUGAGUAAAUUGAUCCGACGUUUAUUGAGACAACGCCACAGACGGAUGACAAGAACACAAUACUUCCAGCUCCCGAGGCCUUGAGAAGGGGAUGUGCGAGCUGGCUCAGAUGGUAAGCCGAUUCAAAGUUAGUUGUCAUGAUGAAGGAAAAAUCUUCUGCUGUGUAAUCCAUGGUCGACUUUAAGGUGUUGGUCCCGACGUUGUUUAUCUACCACAAAUAAAAACCGAGAACAAAAUCUAUUGAAAGACAAGCACAAACUGCGGCAUUGUUAUAAAUAUCAUUAUUGGACCCAUAGGAUCAAAGUCGCCUUAGACUCACUAGGAUGUUGAGC